rnacentral:lncRNA from 1 species
UUCUUAGUUGGUUUCUAAGAGAAUAAUGGGCCUAAAUUAAAUAAAAAUUCAACAAUAAUUUUAGGAACGUUCCUAAAAUUAGGUUUUUGGAAACUCAUUAGAAACGCAUACGUGGCUAUUUGUGAUAGAUUGUUUGUUUUAAACAAAAGGAAAAUUUUCUCAGCUCUCUUUUGUUUGGUUUCUUCGUCGGCGAUACCAAAGGCGAUUCAGCUUGAUUUGUUUGAUCCAGCGUUUUGAUCAUGAAAUCGGGAGAGCAACCACAUAUACUCAAUAUACAACCGCCGGAAUGAUGAUCGACGAUGAGAUUGUUCACCAAAUCAACUUCAAACCGGAUCUUGUGGUUAUAUUGUUCAAUUCUUUGUAACACCAGGAGCUUCUAUCAUGUGGCUAUCUCAUGAGCUCUUACCAAGAGGUAGAAUCCAGCUCUGUCUCAAGUAUAUCUCUUUUAAUGCACUUGGAGUUUUCUGAAAUUUUUGCUCAAAAAACAUGGUUGUGGCAAAACAGAGCCUUUAUCUGACAUAGAGAUGGCUUAAGAACAGGCUAAUAAAUGAUAUGUUGUCUUAAGUUUUAGGUUCUAUCUGAAUGUUGCAUGUUUGGUCAGAAUGUCCUUCACCUUCUAGUAUUUCGGCUUUAAGUUUUAGCUUCUAGUAUUUCGGCUUCUAGUAUAUGUGUAAUAACUUUGAGACUGAAUGUUUGGUCUGAAUGUUUUCAGUUUAUGGGUUAAUGAGAUGAGUAUUUGUGUUUGGUGAGUAUUUGUGUUUGGUGAAUGUUUGGUCUCAAUGUUUUCAGUUUAUGGAUUAAUGAGAUGAGUAUUUGUGUUUGGUCUGAAUGUUUGUAGUUUACGGUUUUGUUUCAUCUGUUAAUGUCAUGAUUUGCUUCAUUUUGCAGGACUGCGAAGAAUAGAAAUGGUGCCAACAUCAAUUGUGGAAGAGACCAAAUGCUUUAAAUGUAUGUAUUGUUGUGAGUUUUAUCGAUUAAUGAGUUUGGUCUGAACUUAACCAUAUCCAUUAAUGACUGAAUGUGUGUGUUUGGUCUGAAAUUAACCAUAUUGAUUUAUAGAUGAAUGUGUGUGUUUGGUCUGAACUCAACCAUAUCGAUUAAUAGAUGAAUGUGAGUGUUUGGUCUGAACUUAACCAUUUUGGUUACAAUCGAGUAAUGAGUUUUAUUUCAUGAGUUUCAUCUAUUAACUUAUGUACUUAACCAUUUUGUUUUCCAAAUUUUUUUUUUAAGAAACCCUCUUAAGGAUUCUACCAUUGAACCAUAAAAAUUACAAAAAACUCUAAAUUACAAAACUAUCAAAAUUAACCAAUAAACAAUUUGAAGAAACUCAUAUUAGAAACCAACCAAUGUGGGUGCUCUAAGAAGAUAAGUUAAGAAUCCCAGAAAAGAAGAAAAGAUACAUAUCUCCUUUCAAAAAAUAAAAAAUUUCUACAUAUCUCGAAACUGACUACAUGUUCAUAUAAAGAGAUAAUCAUCUAUUUGGAUGAAAUCUCUCACACAAAAACCUAAAAGACCCUUUCUAGUAUGAACUUCACAUGGCUUGAUCUUAUUACAAAUGUACGUAGGCAACCUCCAUGAUGUGCAACUAUAUCAUAAACAAAAUUCCAAUUAGUCAAUUCUCUCGUGGUGAAGCUCGAGUCUUGUUGAAAUCAUCGUCAAACCCGACUUGAUUUAUCAUCCAAUUUAUCUGUGCCGGAUUCACUCGCACAAUUGUCGUGUGUCUAAACCAAUUUUGGUUUUUGGAUCUCACAUUGUUUUCUAGAGGUCGGUCACACAUUUCAAAAAAUUUGAAAGAUUUCAUGUUAUAAGACUAAGAAUUGUCAUUUGGAAAUUGAUUGUAUCACUAUCAAACAAAAAUAGAGAAUAGAUCUUUUUUUUUAUUAAUAAUAAUUAUAUGAAGAAUAUAUAUUUCAGAGUUACAUCUAUUUUAAAUAUAAUAUUUAUUUAGGAGCUUUAGCUUUAUGACAUUUGCAAUGACAUUUUUUUUUAUGUUUUUUGUUGACAUCUACUUCUGAAUCUAUCAUUGAAGGUGAAUGAGUAGGAGGUCUAUGUUUAUGACACUUGCAAUGACAUUUUCUUUUAUAUUCUUUAGUACCGUCCAUAUAUUCUUGGUUGAGUACUCCUUCUUCUGAAUCUAGCAUUGAAAGGGAAAGAUUAGGAGGACAUUUAAUGCUAAGUCCUUUCUGGUCUAUGCAUUCUAUGUUGGCUCCUUCUUUUGAAUCUAUCAUCGAAGGAGAAGGAGUAGUGGAUCUAUAACAUUUGCCUACACAUUCUUUGCCUUCACUAGCCUCGAUUGUUAUGCUUUGCUCUUCAAUUUAUUUUAAGAAAAAAAUGUCAAAUUAGUAUACAACUGGUAUUAUCAUGACAUACAAGAAUCUAAGAAAAAAUAAAUUCAUAAAUAUAAUAGAACAUAGAUUUAAGCAAAAAUACGCUUGAAUUUAAUUUAGAGCCAGCAUAAAUGAUCACAAACUGCUAAACAUAAUUGGUUAAAUUAUGAAAAAUCUUGGAAAUACUUUCACCAAUUUUUGAAAUACCAAUGAAAAUUCUCAUUUACUUACGGUCCUAAAGUAAAUGUUGGUCAUAGCUAAACAAUGUUUGUAUUUGGAUACUUGAUGAGCUUGGUUUGUGAGAGUACUAGCUAGUCUUGAGGCCAUUUAUAUAUGGGAUGGAAAAACAAUCUUUUCACUUUUUAAAAAAAAAUGUAUUUAAAAUUUCAGAUUUUGUAUAUAUCUUGAUUUUUAGUUUUUAAUUUAGACACUCAUUCAAUGAUCCAAGAUACAUAGUCUAUUUUUCACAAAUACAAUUACGAUAAUAAAAUCACAGAUUUUUAAAAUACAAUUACUAUAAUAAAAUCACUGGUAUAGUAUCCUAUUGGGAGUUAUUUUGUUUUUUUUUUUGUUUUUUGGCAAAGGGGAGUUAUUUUGUUUAAGAAACAGUUUUAUUUUUUAAUUUAUUUGAAAAUUUACUCUAUAUAUUAAAAAAAAAUCAAUGUAGAACAGAUUUUUUUCAGUUAUAACUUUGUCUAAUAUAGAAAAGACUUUGUUUUCAGUUAUGAGUCAGUCUUAUGAUAUGGAGUCUAUCUUCCACAAAGAAAAAUAUUAUAUAAUAUAUAUACAGUUUUUAAACUGUGUUUUACCUUGUAUUAUAUUCUAAAAAACAGCUUUUUUAUUUACUUUGUUAAAACUACUUGAUUUAAUAAUGUUGAGAAGGCAAAACAAAUAUAUAUCACACUUUCUCUAUUGAGCUAUAACUCAUAUCUAAAGUUUUACUUUACAUCAUAAUCAUCUUAUGCAUAAUUUAAGUAACGGAUUUUAGAACUUGGAUCAGAUGAGAAGUGUGUGUACUAAUAAUUUUUAUUAUUUGCAUAUCUACAUAUACAUUUUUGCAGCCUUUUUGUGAAAUAAAUCUUGGAGUUGAGACUUAUUUACAAUGGCUGCCACUAACUUUUAAUUAUUGGUUUUUUUGGGUAAUAAAUUAAUUAACAAACGAAAAAUAUUCCAAAUAUAUUCUAAUCUCAUAUGUCACGCAGAUAUCUCCAAAAUUUGAAUUAGAUUUCAGCAACUAUUUAAAACAAAAAAUGUUUGACAAACCAAAAUACAAUUGAAAUCCCUUAAAAUGAGCAAAACACACCUAAAUACAUUCUUUAUCUAUACAAUAAAUCUUAUUUCUCCAAAAUUUGAGCUAGAUUUUGGCAACUAUUUAAAACAAAUAUUUGUUUGACAAACCAAAAUACAAUUGCAAUCCCGUAAAAUAUUUAUUUUAAUUAUAUAUUUAAAUUAGCGGUGUACCGCGGGUUUUUUUACGGGAUAGAUUUGGCGGGACGGUUUGACAAGACGUUACUUAAUAACAAUUGUAAACUAUAAAAUAAAAAUAUUAUAUAAAUAGAUUUAAAAAUUUGCAACUUUAAUAUAUACUAAUUUAAAAAAUAAAUUGUUCUCACGGUAUACCGCGGGUUAAAAUCUAGUUCGUUUACAUAUUUGAUUCUAAUAUAUCUAACGCCUACGAUAUGGUGUUAUGUCAGUUGCAUUGACAUUUUACUAGAACAAUUUAAAUUAAAUUAUGAACAAUAGAAAAGUUAUAUGGAUGCCCAUUAUACGGCAAUUAGUAGAUCCUAGAAGAUUUAAUCUCUAACAUAAACUCUAAUGUUGUAUUUCAAUGUAUAUGUCAUAUCUUGUAUAAUUGAUUGAUAACAGAAUGCACAAUUCCCUAAAAUCUCUUUGUUCACAACAAAUUAGUAUAUGUAUCUUGAUGAUUUAUACUGCACAUAUAUGAUUAUAUAUUUAAAUAUUUAUAUUUAAUAUACUGGUUCAAGUUGGAGAUAAAAAAUUUUAAUUUACAAAAAUAAGUAAAUAAUCUAUUAACCCUUAAAAUGUACAUGCUAGAUUCUAGAACGAUUAAAUACCAUCUAGCGAUUUAUUAAAUAUUGGUAAUUAAUCUGCAUUCCAUAAAUGUCAAGUUAAACGUACGAUAUUUACUAAAAACUUGUGAAAAUGGCAUACUACUUAGUAAAAUUUUAAAUGUAAUAUUGUGGAAUUAGUAUUGUAUUAGUUUACCACUAUCCAAAUUCAACUUCGCAUACGCUUUUAUUUAGAUAAGACAGCUUUUUAUAUACAUUUAUUAGCUAGUACACAAAAUAUGUGCCCAAUAUUUGAUGUGCAAAUGAGAGAAAAAGUCAAUACAUCUAUUUGUAAGCUCCGCUCUUAACUUAAACAUCAUCAAGCCCACUUGGCCAUGACGGACAUGCCACCAGCACCAAGCAAAACGGCAGCAUAUGACUUUAAUUGAAGCUUGAUGCUCCUUUGCAUUUUUUGACCCAUAAAAUCGGCAGCUAGAAGGUCAACUAAAGCCAUGUAGAUGAGUAGUCCUGCCGAGGAAGCGUUGAGCAACCCAACUGUUAUAAGCGAUUCAGGGCUAUUCUCUUUGUAUGUUUUAGAUAGUGCCAUCCCUAGAACCACUCCAAAAGGCGUCGUCACCGCAAAAAAGAAAGCCAUCACCGCCUUUUUAACCCACCCGUACUCCGCCUACAUGUAUUAUCAAGUUCUCAUCAUAUAUAUGAUUUCAUAUCAAUUCAUUCAAAAGCACGACGUUUUUCAAGAAAUCAAACCAUGUGGAACUUUUUGUGUUUAAACCAAGAAAAGGAAGAAAAAAAAAUCAUGUGGAAUUUAGUUUAUAGAACCAGAAUGGAUGGGAGUAAUUACUCGGUCCGACUAAUAAAUUAAGUGGAAAGGAGGAACUCACCUGAAGGAUGCAACCGCCGAGACCCAUGCCUUCGAACAUUUGAUGGAAGCAAAGCGCAGCGACGAGUCCUUUGAUGGUGCAAGUAUUGUUAGUGUCUCCUACCGAUAGUCCUAUCACUAUCGACUGCACCACUAUUCCUAGCUCCAAUACCUAUUCCAUUUUAUUCAUUUCAGCUACUCACUUAUUAAAUCAUAAUUAGUGUAAAUGGUUGUCACUCAAAUAAAAGCAAAAGAUGAAAUAUAAUUAGUGGAAUAAAUUAAAAUGAAAAAUUACUUGUUCCUUUUUUUUUUAACAAAGAACUGUGUUUUAUUUUUAUUUUUCUAACUAACACAACAAACAGGGUAACAAUUUUGUUUUACACUAUGCAACCUACAAUUAAAAUUUGAGUUACCAGUUAACCUUAGAAAAAUGGCAUAUUAAUGCCUUCGUAUGUGAUAAUGUGAAUAAUCAUUUUUUUCCUAUAAACGAACCAAGUUAUAACAAUUUCACUUAGCUUUUAACACAAAUGUUUCUCAAUGUGAGCAUUUAUAAAAAAACAAUUUAUCUGGUUUAAUGUUAAAAAAGCAUUUUUGUAAUUAAAUCAAGUUAAGAGAGUUUUAUUUUUACAAAAAAAAAAAAAAACGAGAGUGAAGGAAUACUAACGAUUGCAAGAAUACGAUACCGCAGAAGCUGUAAAUAAGAACCAAGCUCUUUAUCAUUCUCUCCAUGAAGAUUGUGAGGAAGAGUAUGGCUAUGAACAUGGCCAUGAACCUGUACGUGCCCUAUCUCUUGGUCAGGAGUCUCAACGGAUGCUACGUCAGCACGUAGAUCUUUCCUUCCUGACUUGGUGAAGACGCUGGUGGUAAUAGAGUCAACCAUGAGCGUGAACACGGCAGACAUCAUGGCUACAAAGCCGGCGAAAGGAAACUUGUGCCAGGGGUUAUCGUUAAGACAAGGAGAUGAAAGCAUCUCGAAAGAAUCAGGCAAGACAUGCAUGAAACCAGUGGAAAGGAUGAUUCCGGAGGCGAAAGAUUUUACGAUGAGGAAGUGAGAUUUCUCGGGUUGGAAAGCGGGAAUUGAUCGGGCAAAGAACGGGAGGCAAACACCGAUUAGACUAGUGAUGAGAAUUGAGAAGAUUGAUAAGAGUUUGAGAUCUAAUGCUUUGUUUUUGUCUAUACAUGAGUAGUUGGAUUUUGAUUGGCAAUCUUUAUUGGAUUGAGAGAGAGCUCCCGGGAAAUGCGAGAUGGAGAGUAGGAGAAAGAGAGCGAUGGAGGCAGAGAAAAUGACAUGAGAUUUAGUCAUCUUUCUAUUUGUUUCUUGUGGAGUUUUUUGAGUUUGAUACAAAGUACAUUAUGUCUUAAUCUUCUUAUAUAAGACAAGACUUGAACCCUCGACCUCAAUCAAAGUAAGUGUCGACAUUACUAAUUAAUCAAUUGUCAACAUGUUUUGUUUAGAAGAUAUUGAAAUACUCAAAAAAAGUCUAAACUAAUUCUAGGCAUACACACACAUAUAAAUUUCUUGAAUAUGUUCUCACUUGCAAAAUAAAAUAAAUCAUGAUAGUAGUUCUUGGUUAUAACUUAUAAAGAUAAAGAUAUAUAUAGAGAAAAAGAAAUUCAAUUUCAUAUAUAUAGUCAUUAAAUCUUUAGUAUUAAAUAAAAUGAACUGUAAUUAGGUGUUAUAUUUUUCUCGUUGUAUACGGGAGUAAUAAACUAAAAGUAAUCAAAAAGGUUAGAUAUUAUUGUAUAGGUCAAAUUUCUUGACACUUGAUCAAACUGUAUAAAUAUCUAUGUUGGGUUUAAUAUUACAUGUUGAAAAACUUUACCUAUCAUCAUGUUACCCACGUUAUACAAAUAUCGGCAUAUGGAUAAGCCGUCACACUCCACAGUCCAUAUAUGUACUUAGUGUACGUUUUUAAGUACAUGAUGUAAUACAAUAAUAGUAUUCUUUUUUAUUGUCAAAAAAAAUUAUAAACCCUAAGUUGACUUCUAACUUUUUUAAAGCUGCUAAUCCAUGUGGAUGAGGUAUCGGAGGAAUGUUUCAACAAAUGAACAUUGAUGUGAUUGUCUUACAACGACAUACUAAGCUAUAAACAAAUUGAUCAGCUUUAUCAAAAAAAAUUGAUCAUGGGUAGAGAAGGAUACAUAGAGGUUUUGAGCUCGGCUUGACGCGAGACCUAAGACUCGUACGAGGAAUGACAGACUUGUCAGUUUUGUGUAACCAACAAUAUCAUAAAUAUGUUAGGAUUUAGUAAAGAAGAACACAACAAUUGAAGCGGGAAAAAGAAGACAAUGCCAGCUCAGCUUGAUACACGUGGAUAUGCAGGACCACAAGACAAAGAAUACCCGUUUUGCUUGUCCGCUAAAGCAAUGGUGUACGGAGGAGACAACUCUUGUCUUGUGUGUGAAGGCAGAAGAGCCGUUACGCCUGAACCAAAGCAGGCUACAAGACAAGCUUGGAGGCUACUGCAGAGGAGCGUGUAGAGGAGAGGAACCGAGAAGGAUCCAGAAGGAGACUAGGUUAAAAUCUCUUGCUCUAUUUAAGUUGAGCAUUGUAGAGAGAGAAAAGUUAAGAAACACAGAGGCACUUAAUCGAGAGUAAACUUGUAUUGGGUGUUCUUGGGGAAACAGAGAGUGAAAGAGAGUGAAUCUUAGUUAGCUUUGUAAGGGGCUGAGAGGGUGAGAAAUCUCUUUGUAAAUCUCUAAAGGUUGAUAUAGUGGAUUCCGGGAGAGAGUUCCCGGCCCAGACGUAGCACCGUUGGUGUGAACUGGGUUACCAUUGUGUGUGUGUUCUGUUCUGCAUUUCUCAUUACAAAGGUUCUGUUUUUGGUUCUAAGUCGAAGUUGGUUCUAAAGCUGAAACGUUCUUGGUUUGUGGUGUGUUAAUCUUCACAAAAUAUAUAACUUCAAACUUUAAAAGAAGGAAAAAAAAAUCGGUGAAAUUUAUUUGAAAAAGCAAUUUGGAAUAGGUCGAACAGAAUGUUAUAAAAGCUCGUUGUUGACAUAUAUAUAAUUCGUACGAAUGUACUUCGCUGACUUUACUUCUACUUACAUCAUACAGAAUACGAAUCCUUUUGAUAAAAGUUAUUAGUCGUGUUGAUUUCGAAAUCGCACAACCACUGUUAUUAUACAAUCACUAAUCCAAAACCACCUCAUUCGUUGUUAAAGCUAAUAUAAAUUCAUCCUACCAAAAAAAAGCUAAUAAAAAUUUAUUUGGAAAUUGCAACGAAAGAUCUUAAAAAGUUUAAUGUUUUAUAUAUUCGGAUUAUGUUAUGAUUGGUAUAUGAAUCGUUUUAGUUGAAUUGGUAUAUAAUUUGGUGGUCAAGUAGGUUUGCAUAAAAUUUAAAUACUAGCUAGCUUUAUAAACUUACAUUAUACAUAAGCACAUGCCUCUCAUAACAUAUAUUGGAUUUUGGCCUUUUGGUCGUUUGAGUCAAGCAAUUAAAAUUUUAUUUGAAGAAUAAAUUUAAACUAUCAAUAUUCAAUCAUGCCAGACGAGUCGUUAAAAGUCAAUGGAAUUAUUGGUUGAUAAGAUGAGAUAUUUUCGAUCGUUCUUAUGACUAUCUAGAUAUGAAGAUGAGUCAUACAAGCUAUGAGUUCAAAAACGGUGUAAUUUUGCCUUGUUUGAAAGGACACAACAAUUAUGAAAUUGUGUUAGUUUAAUAAAGGUUUAUGAGUCUUUAAGUCAAGACGACGUGCAUAAUCAUAUGGAAUGAACAAAUAAUUAAUCUUGUAAGCUUAAUAUUGUUACUUUGCUAGUAAGUUCUGAAUUUAACUUUGACCAAAACUAAAAAGUUUUGAAUUUGAUAUUCACUUUGUUAUACGCAUAUUUUAGAAUAGCAAUGAAAUUGGAAAAUUUAAAAGUAGUAUUGAUUUUUUUUUUUUAAUCAAAGGUUUGUUUUCAUUCCAUUAGAGUAGCUAACACAUACAAGGAUAAAAGGACUCUAAGAUCCCAAAAUUUAGAACAACAUAAUAAAGGGUAUACCCCAAAAUUACUAACAUGAAAAUAAGAGAGUAGAUAGAGUUAAUCGACAAAUUAUCUUUUGAGAGCUUUGAACCAAAAGCUAAGGGGCUUUGUAGAACAUGUAAGGUCAAGGUUUGUCGAAGUUUCUUCCAAGAGCGAGUCAUUGGGUGAACGAAUUGUUAAUGUCGAGAGAUGAAAUAUCGUUGAUGAGGGGGCUAAAGAUAAGCUUCUCGCCGACACGAGGAGAACUACACAAAAUAGUGAUUUAGCAACUGUUCGGGCAAUGGUGGUGGUGUCGCAGUGAGGGUUUAAGGGCAUUUGACCAAUGUUGAGCAAGUAAACAAACUCGCAACUUACGGUAUUUGGUGAAGCUAUUAUAAGGGUUCGCACAUGGAGAGAGUGUAAAGCCGUAACAUAAUAGGUGGAUCCUCUCUCAUAUUGAUUAUGACUUCGAUGAUGCUAAAUCACAAUUUGGUAUUGUGCAUCCGUUCACAAAAGUUAAUUAAAUCAUUCGAAUUGUAUGUUCUUUGGCGACCCGUACGAUACUUGUUUGUUGAUAAUCCACACACAUGGGCUGAGGAAAGUUUUAACCUACGGCCUAAGUACUAAUCACAUUCUUUAAUCGAACUUAAGGCCCAAGUGCUAAAUCACGACACAUUCUUUUAAUUUCAUCAGAGAGACAAUAACCGUAACAGCGCAACAAAUAACAAACUUUAAAGACAAAAUGUAUUUCCAAAGAGCAAACGUGAAACAGAAAGAUCGUGGUCAUAAAGACAACAUCGUGGGUUCAAGAUGACUAGAUAAACAUGAGUUAUGGACCUUACGGUUUUCCAAAAAUCCAUUUUUUAACCAUUCAUUAUUGGAUUCUAAGAAUUUUUACUAAUUUCUUAACAAAAUCCAAAAUCUCAUUUCAAUGGGUUUUUUUCAAUUUCCUCUACGAGAUCCUUUUUUCUUUCAAUUUUCCAUUUGAUUUUUUUUUUUUUUUUUUACUUUUGUUACAAAAUCCAAAAACCAAAAACUAAGGCCAUGAAUGUUUGUAAUUUUAAAAAUGGUUUUUGGAUUUUGGUUUUUGGUUUUUAGUUUUUGAUUUUCUUGGUUUUUGUUUUUGGUGUAGAUUUUAGUUUCUUAAAAACUUGAAUGGUAGUUUGUUUAGAUUUUGGUUUUUAUGUUAAUGGAUAAUAUUUUUGUAACAAAAAAAUCUAAAAAUAAAAUAAAAGAAUGUAAUGGAUGGUUUUAUGAUUUUGGUUUUCUUUGAAAAAUUGUUAAAACACUCAAACACUAGAUUCUCUAUUUUUUAGAAAAACUUAUUUUUUUCAAAAUCUUGAAUGGAUAUAAAAUAGAUUUUGAAAAAAACUAAACCAAAAUCUAGUUUAAAAACCACACCCAUUCAAGGUCUUAAAACUAAAAUAUUUAUGUAUUAGUUUUAAAUUACAAAGAUAAUAAAAUUGAGGACAGUUGAAAAAGAAGAAAAAAAAGUUUGUAUGUAUUUGGAAGUUAUUUUUCUCAAGUAGAAUACUGUGAAAGACGAUUCAACAUCCCUUAUUUUACGGUUGUGUCAAGGAACAUUCGAGAACUUUUUUUAAUAACUCCUUAAGGGACAAGUUCUCUCUGUUUUUCUUUUUUCAAUAGCUUCUCUGACACUUUAUUCUUUCUUUCUGAUAUUAUAAACCUCCGAUUUGGUUUAGUUCAAAACUAGAAGCAGCAAAAUUCUGAACACGUAAAGCUUUGUUUCACUCAGUGUUUCCCGAUCAGAUCCAAUGGAGAGAGGUGGUUAUCGAGGAGGUCGUGGUGAUGGCCGUGGUAGAGGUGGCCGUGGUUAUGGCGGAGGCGGAGGAGGAGGAGAACAAGGUCGUGAUCGUGGCUACGGCGGCGGAGAACAAGGUCGUGGUCGUGGCUCAGAGCGAGGCGGCGGAAAUCGUGGUCAAGGUCGUGGUGAACAACAGGAUUUUCGAAGCCAGAGUCAGCGGGGACCUCCGCCAGGUCACGGUGGCCGUGGGACGACGCAGUUCCAACAGCCUCGACCACAGGUGGCUCCGCAGCCGUCGCAGGCUCCGGCGAGUUAUGCCGGUUCAGUAGGAGGAGUCGCUGGUAGAGGCGCGUGGGGUCGUAAGCCACAGGUUCCGUCUGAUUCGGCUUCUCCGUCCACCAGCACCACCGUGGUUUCUGAACCCGUUCGUGGUAUAUAUGCUCAAUUUUAAUUUUGUUCGAGAACUCUUUGGGAAAUGAAAUUAGGGCAAAUUCAUAGAAGCUUAUAAUAAAUGAUUAGAACUUAAAUUAUGAAAUCAUUAGAGAGAUUUAUGUUAGUUAAUCAAUAGCUUUUGAUGAAUGUUUUAUGUGAUUAUUGUUUAGCUCAAAGUUGUAAUUAUAUUUUUGAAAUGUGACAGUAGCUGAAGUUAUGAAUCUGAAGCCAUCGGUGCAAGUUGCGACUUCUGAUAGGAAAGAACCAAUGAAGCGACCUGAUAGAGGCGGAGUUGUGGCUGUGCGGCGUGUUAAUCUAUAUGUGAAUCAUUAUAAAGUGAAUUUCAAUCCUGAAAGUGUUAUAAGACAUUAUGAUGUUGAAAUCAAAGGAGAAAUUCCUACCAAGAAGGUUUCGAGGUUUGAGCUAGCUAUGGUUAGGGACAAGGUGUUCACUGACAAUCCCGAUGAGUUUCCCUUAGCUAUGACAGCUUAUGAUGGUCAGAAGAACAUUUUCAGUGCGGUUGAGUUACCUACGGGGUCAUACAAGGUGGAGUAUCCUAAAACUGAAGAGAUGAGAGGUCGAAGCUAUACGUUCACUAUCAAACAGGUGAAUGUGCUGAAGCUAGGUGACUUGAAAGAGUACAUGACAGGGAGAUCGUCUUUCAAUCCGCGUGAUGUGUUGCAAGGAAUGGAUGUUGUGAUGAAGGAGCAUCCUUCCAAGUGUAUGAUCACUGUUGGUAAAAGCUUUUUCACUCGUGAAACUGAGCCAGAUGAAGAUUUUCGUUUCGGGGUUAUAGCUGCGAAAGGGUAUCGCCACACUCUGAAGCCCACAGCACAAGGUUUGUCUUUGUGUUUGGAUUACUCGGUGUUGGCGUUCCGCAAAGCAAUGUCGGUCAUUGAAUACCUGAAGUUGUACUUUAACUGGUCUGAUAUGCGUCAGUUUAGGAGGCGUGAUGUGGAAGAGGAAUUGAUUGGUUUGAAAGUCACUGUCAAUCAUCGGAAGAACAAGCAGAAACUCACCAUUGUAGGGCUGAGUAUGCAAAACACAAAAGACAUCAAAUUUGAUCUUAUUGAUCAAGAGGGAAACGAGCCGCCAAGGAAGACGUCCAUUGUUGAGUAUUUCAGGAUAAAGUAUGGAAGACACAUUGUUCACAAGGAUAUACCUUGCUUGGAUUUGGGAAAAAACGGUAGGCAAAAUUUUGUGCCCAUGGAAUUCUGUGACUUGGUUGAGGGACAGAUAUAUCCAAAGGAUAACUUGGAUAAAGAUUCAGCUUUGUGGCUAAAAAAGUUGUCACUGGUCAAUCCACAACAAAGGCAGAGGAAUAUAGAUAAGAUGAUAAAGGCUCGUAAUGGACCGAGCGGGUAUGUGUACAAAGAACUUCACUUUUAUUGUCUAUCUUUUUAAAAUUUUGUCAGUCUUAUAUUUUUGUAUGUGUGUUUAUGACAGUGGUGAAAUCAUUGGAAACUUUGGAUUGAAAGUGGAUACAAACAUGACACCGGUGGAAGGUCGUGUACUCAAGGCUCCAUCAUUGAAGUUGGCAGAGAGAGGGAGAGUUGUGCGUGAGGAACCCAACCCGAGACAGAACAACCAAUGGAACCUUAUGAAGAAGGGAGUCACAAGGGGAUCUAUAGUCAAGCAUUGGGCUGUACUUGACUUCACUGCAUCCGAGAGAUUUAACAAGAUGCCUAAUGACUUUGUGGAUAACCUUAUUGAUCGUUGUUGGAGACUUGGGAUGCAGAUGGAGGCUCCUAUCGUUUACAAAACAUCGAGAAUGGAAACACUUUCUAAUGGUAAUGCUAUUGAGGAAUUGCUUCGAUCCGUGAUAGAUGAAGCUUCUCGUAAGCAUGGUGGGGCUCGUCCAACUCUUGUUCUGUGUGCUAUGUCUCGGAAAGACGAUGGCUAUAAGACUCUGAAAUGGAUAGCCGAGACCAAACUUGGUCUGGUGACUCAGUGUUUCUUGACUGGUCCUGCCACUAAAGGAGGUGAUCAGUACCGGGCAAAUCUUGCCCUCAAGAUGAACGCAAAGGUUGGUGGAAGCAAUGUCGAGCUUAUGGAUACUUUCUCUUUCUUCAAAAAAGAGGAUGAGGUCAUGUUCAUUGGUGCUGAUGUCAAUCAUCCCGCUGCUCGGGACAAGAUGAGCCCGUCCAUUGUUGCUGUUGUGGGAACUCUUAACUGGCCUGAAGCAAAUCGCUAUGCAGCUAGAGUCAUUGCCCAGCCUCACCGCAAAGAGGAAAUACAAGGAUUUGGCGACGCUUGUUUGGAGCUUGUCAAAGCUCAUGUUCAGGCCACAGGGAAACGGCCUAACAAGAUUGUGAUAUUCCGUGAUGGUGUCAGCGAUGCUCAGUUCGAUAUGGUUCUCAAUGUGGAGUUGCUUGAUGUUAAGCUAACUUUUGAGAAGAAUGGUUACAAUCCAAAGAUAACGGUAAUCGUAGCCCAGAAACGUCAUCAAACCCGUUUCUUCCCAGCCACAAAUAAUGAUGGAAGUGAUAAGGGCAAUGUGCCUUCAGGUACGGUUGUUGAUACUAAAGUUAUUCACCCGUAUGAGUAUGAUUUCUACCUCUGCAGUCACCACGGAGGGAUAGGGACAAGCAAACCGACUCAUUACUACACUCUUUGGGACGAACUUGGAUUCACUUCGGAUCAGGUGCAGAAGCUCAUCUUCGAGAUGUGCUUCACUUUCACUCGCUGCACCAAACCCGUCUCUCUUGUUCCGCCGGUGUAUUAUGCUGACAUGGUUGCUUUUAGAGGAAGGAUGUACCACGAGGCAAGCUCUCGUGAGAAGAACUUUAAGCAGCCGCGGGGAGCGUCAACCUCUGCUGCUUCGCUUGCCUCUUCAUUAUCUUCUCUUACAAUUGAGGACAAAGCGAUUUUCAAGCUGCAUGCAGAGCUUGAGAAUGUUAUGUUCUUCGUCUGAAGAAGAGAGUGAGUUUCUUUUGUGUUUUGGGUCUCAAGCUGAACUUAAACCUAUAUUCGAAAUCGGAACGCCCCAAUAACGCAGUUUUAACUCCUUUUUUCUGGUAGAAAGGAGUUUGUGCGUGAAUCUAAUUGGGUUUUUCGUAGUGUGUUUCUUUCUUUUUGGUUUUGGUGUGUUGAAACGAAUUUGUAAUCUCUUUUGAGCAAAAACUACGUCUUCUUCUUUUUUUGGUAUUAUUGUAUUUCAGACUCUGCAUUCAGUAAUUAUUUCAUAUUUUGCUAAUUUUGUUUCUGAGUUUUGUUAAAAUGCUUUAGAUCUCGGAGAUUAGAAUUACAUGUUCAGUGUGUGUCUGAAAUUUAGUAAGUGCAUUAACCAUGAUCAUGUUCGGUCGCUACUGAAGUAUGAUAAGCUCUGUAUCAUUCAAUUACUUCAUCAUUCCUUCCACUUUUGCCCCUUGUGGACUACCACAGAUGUUACAAGACAAAACAUAAUCUGUAAAUUGCUAAUCUCUGAACCUAAGACUUGAUAUGAAACAUUUAUUUUUAUUCCCAAUCGUUUUAUAAAGAUUCUGUUGCUUGCACAAUCUCAUUCACCACACUACUCAUGUACUCCCAGGUUAAUCAAUCAAGUUUAUUUGUGUCCGAAAAAAUGGAAAAAUAUGAGAAAUUCCCAUCCAAUUUUAAGGAUUGUUUGAAUGAUCAAAGUAUGGUUGUUUUAGAGAAAUGACCUUAAACACCCAAUUUUACGUUGUUCUCGUCCAAAACUAGCGGAAAAUUUAUAAAUUUUUCAAAUACCACAAGAUAGUAAGAGUUUGUAAGUUAUGGUAAGUUCAGAAGAAAAGAAAAAUACAUAAAUGAUAGUUUUUUGAGAAUUGAAUGCAUAUUUCGUCUUAGAGUCAAUUAGUUACAAUUAACAUGAUUAAUUAAUAGUUAUUUUGUUGUUUUGUUAUUUGUUGUUUGUAUGAAAUGGUGUUGUUAUAUAUACAUUGGAUACUCUUAUAGAAGUUGAAGCUGCAAUUUCUUCGUUGCAUGACUUCAACAUUUGAUACUCGUUAGUCAAAAUCUUUUUCGUUACAUCAGACUCGAUCAGGCCACAUAAUCAUAUUUAGAACUAAAUUACAAUCAAUUACGUAUUGUUCCAAACUUCCAAAAGAUAAUUGACCACAAACACUCAUUUCCAACAGAACAUGACUAUUACUGACUGACUCACAAGCAUACACUAAUAACUAUAUCCAUUUCUCAACAUAUAUCUUUACAUCCAUUUCUCAACAUAAAGGAUUGAACAAAUAACUUAAUUUUUCAUCAAAAUUAACAAUAACCCUAUCCCUAUGAAUUCUCAACAAAAAAAAGUUUAAAACAACACUAGCUACGAGCUCUCAAAAUGUUUGGUCGUGUGUUCGAGAACAUUUAUAUAAUUAAGUUUUUUCUCAACUUAUAUAAUUCCAUUUAGUGAAAAAUCUAUAGAUAUAUUUAUAUAAUUAAGUUUUUUCUCAACUUAUAUAAUUCCAUUUAGUGAAAAAUCUAUAGAUAUAUUUAAAAAGUUUACUAUUUCUUUUUGGCGGUUUAGAGAGCAAUUGUUUUUUUUAAUAAUUGAGUUAGUAUGUUUGAGUGGUCGAACUACGUAUUCACUAAUUAAAGACAUUUUAAUCUUGACAUAGUCAUACCAUUUUACAUAAGUAUGGCUAAAUCAAAAUUAAAAUGAUCUUAAUUAGCGCAGUGCCUAACUAAAGUUAUUUUAAUUUUGACAUAGUAAAAGUCUAGUUUAUACAAUCGCCUUUAUAGUGUAUAAUGUAUUAAAUAAUUCUAAUCAAGCAAGUGUUUUACGCAACUGAUGCUUUUGUUGAAAUACAUUAUUAGAAUUUAGAUUAAUAUAUAAACCGAUGUGAACGUUAUGAAUUUAAAACGGUGUUGGCUAGUGAAUGUUGUGAAAUAAAUAUCAGUAAAUUAUGCACAAGUCACAUAACUUUCAGAGAUUGUGCUACACUGCUACGCCUAUCAUUCAGCAACAUGAUUUUUUAUCUGUCUAGUUAUCUCAUGUUAUAGCGGUUUAGUCGAAUAAUAUAUGAUUAAUCAAAAUUUUACACACAAAAUAUACGUUCGUUAAUUGUAUCACAUCAUCAAUAAUAAAACAAAAGAUCUUUUGACUCGAGCUAAGUAAACCACGUUACAUACGUAAUUGAUUCUCCAAUCUUCUUUAUUACCUUUUUCAAAAAGUAUGCGUAUGAGCGAACCGAUGAGUAAGUAAAAGUGAUCGUUGAUCUGUUGGAGAUGAGAGUUUGUGUAAUUGACUUCAUCAAUCUCUUAACUAAAAAUAGCAAUGCGUGAGGGAAAUGUUUUUCAAAAGAUGAAAAGACACAUAAAAACCAAUGGAAAAUACAACAUCAAAAGAUUCUUUACAUAAAAUGGUAAAAAGAAAAAUUUACAAUCAAAGUUUUCUUUUUAGAAAACUGGAAACCCACGCUAAUGCGUAUACAAUACUCAUCAGUAUAUGAUAUAUCAAAUAUAUAGCCACAUAUAAUAAGUCCAUUAUUAAAAAGUACCGUUAUUAUCAUGACCAAAAUUUAAAGACAAUACACACGUACAACUAAUAUUAUUUAUUAAGAACAUAACAAGUAUUAUUAUUAUUAGAAGUAGAAAUUUUUUUCCAAAAGAGGAAAACGAAAACUUUAACUUUAUUUACUUACCUAAAAACCUUAAUUUUUGACACCUCUAGUGGGUUAUUAUAAUGUCGUUUUCGAUCGAAAGUGAAACAGAGAGACAGUGGACGCAAGAAAAAAACCGUGGGUGGAUGAAAGAAAGUAAACAUGAGAUUUUUGUUUUUCUUUGUUAAUGGUUUCCUUAAAUAAAUUACAAACAUAAUUAUAAUUAAGAAGAGAGUUUCAAAUAAAAUAAAAUGAAAUGCCACGUCUUACAGUUGCAUCUGACUCUGUUUUAUGUUAAUUGUGACACAAGUUUAAUACAGUUGUACUUUCUUACUUUUUGGUGGUUUCGUGGAAGAUUACGACAACUUUACAAACUCUACGACUUAAGCUUCUCUGUUCCUACACCUUUUGUUCUUCUAUUUAAAGCCCUCUGAUUUGUUACUUCACAUUCACAAGUUUUGAAAGCAAACACAUAAAGAAAAUUCUAGUUCAAUCUUUUGUCACUCAAGAGUCUUCCCGACCGUAUCCAGUCAAAUACCAUGGAUCGAGGUGGUUACCGAGGAGGUCGUGGUGAUGGCCGUGGCAGAGGCGGCGGCGGAGAUCGUGGUCGUGGUUACAGCGGUCGUGGUGAUGGCCGUGGCAGAGGCGGCGACGGAGAUCGUGGUUACAGCGGUCGUGGUGAUGGCCAUGGCAGAGGCGGCGGCGGAGAUCGUGGUCGUGGUUACAGCGGUCGUGGUGAUGGCCGUGGCAGAGGCGGCGGCGGAGAUCGUGGUCGUGGUUACAGCGGUCGUGGUGAUGGCCAUGGCAGAGGCGGCGGCGGAGAUCGUGGUCGUGGUUACAGCGGUCGUGGUCGUGGCUUUGUUCAAGAUAGGGAUGGUGGUUGGGUAAAUCCAGGGCAAAGUUCAGGUGGUCAUGUUCGUGGUCGUGGGACGCAGUUGCAACAACCUCCGCCACAGGAAGUUCCUCCGUCGUCGUCGCAAGCUCAAGUGAGUCAAGGCGUUGCACCAGGAGACGUGGGUCAAGGCGGCGUCGGAGACGUGGGUAGAGACGGCGUCGGAGACGUGGGUAGAGACGGCGUCGGAGACGUGGGUCAAGGUGGCGUCGGAGACGUGGGUCAAGUAGGCGUCGGAGACGUGGGUCAAGGCGGCGUCGGAGACGUGGGUCAAGGCGGCGUCGGAGACGUGGGUAGAGACGGCGUCGGAGACGUGGGUAGAGACGGCGUCGGAGACGUGGGUAGAGGCGGCGUCGGAGACCGUGGACAGAGUCAGUCGGGACUAUCGUCGGGUCACUUUGGUCGUGGGACGCAGUUGCAACAACCUCAGCCACAGGCGGUUUCUCAGUCGUCUUCGCAGGGUCAAGUGAGUCAAUCCUUUGCAACAGGAGGCGUGGGUUUAGGCGCGUGGGCUCGUAAGCCUCAACUUUUCUCUGAUUCGACGGUCUUACCUUCUAGUUCUUCGUCUAACGUCGUUGCUUCUCACACCGCUAGUGGUAAGCACCAUAACUCUAGAUUUUUCUUUGCCAUAUCUUUAAGCAUUUGCUAUUUUUCUAACGUUCAAGUAACUAAACAAUGAGUUUGUUUUAAGGUGAUUAAUACAGAAUGAGUUUGAGAAAAACUUAUGUUCUACAUUACUACCUUGGAGAAUUAAAAUUACCCAAAAUUGCUUAAAUCAAUAAUUUUAGAAUUGCUUACAAGAAAUAAUUUUAGAACUUAACUAAUUCUGAAUAUUAUAAGAAUAUUAAACAUAAACAAAGAUAUAUUAUAUGAAUACCUUUUUUGGUUUAAUGAAUAUUUAUGUGUUUUUGAGCUACAGAGAUUAACAAAUAAGUUAUUUGUAUGUUAAUUUCACAGGUUCUCAAGUUAUGACUCCGAAACCAUCUUCUUCUGAUAAGAAAGAACCAGUAAAGCGUCCUGAUAAAGGUGGUAAUAUAAAAGUGAAAGGCGUAAUUAAUCUCUCCGUCAAUCAUUUUAGAGUGAGUUUCUCAACAGAAAGUGUCAUAAGGCACUACGAUGUUGAUAUCAAAGGAGAAAAUUCUUCAAAAAAGAUAUCAAGAUUUGAGCUAGCUAUGGUCAAAGAAAAGCUGUUCAAGGACAAUAAUGACUUUCCUAACGCCAUGACAGCGUACGAUGGUCAGAAGAACAUUUUCAGCGCUGUUGAAUUACCUACGGGAUCAUUUAAAGUUGAUUUCUCAGAAACCGAGGAGAUCAUGAGAGGUAGAAGCUAUACGUUCAUCAUCAAACAAGUGAAAGAGCUAAAGUUACUUGACUUGCAAGCCUACAUAGAUGGACGUUCCACUUUUAUUCCGCGUGAUGUGUUGCAAGGAAUGGAUGUUGUGAUGAAGGAACAUCCUUCAAAACGUAUGAUCACUGUUGGUAAAAGAUUCUUUAGUACUCGGCUAGAGAUUGACUUUGGAUACGGAGUUGGAGCUGCGAAAGGGUUUCACCACACUCUCAAGCCCACAGUACAAGGUUUAUCAUUAUGUUUGAACUCCUCUUUGUUGGCGUUCCGCAAAGCAAUUUCAGUCAUCGAAUACCUGAAGUUGUACUUUGGGUGGAGAAAUAUACGUCAGUUUAAGAAUUGUAGGCCUGAUGACGUGGUACAAGAAUUGAUUGGUUUGAAAGUCACUGUUGAUCAUCGAAAGACCAAACAGAAAUUCAUCAUUAUGGGGUUGAGUAAGGACGACACAAAAGAUAUCAAAUUCGAUUUUAUUGAUCAUGCUGGAAACCAGCCUCCAAGGAAAAUAUCCAUUGUUGAGUAUUUCAAGGAAAAGUAUGGAAGAGACAUUGAUCACAAGGAUAUUCCUUGCUUGAAUUUGGGGAAAAAGGGUCGGGAAAAUUUUGUACCCAUGGAGUUCUGUAACUUAGUCGAGGGGCAGAUUUUUCCAAAAGAGAAAUUGUAUAGAGAUUCAGCCGCGUGGUUAAAGGAGCUUUCACUAGUCACUCCACAACAAAGACUGGAGAAUAUAAAUAAGAUGAUAAAGUCUAGUGAUGGACCUAGAGGGUAUGUGGACAAAAGAUUUUUAUAUUUAUUUUUUAGUCUUAUGACCUUAAUCUUAUCCUUUUAUGUAUAUUUAUGACAGUGGAGAUAUCAUUGGAAACUUCGGAUUGAGAGUGGAUCCAAACAUGACAACGGUGGAAGGUCGUGUACUCGAGGCUCCUACACUGAAAUUGACUGAUCGGAGAGGCAAUCCUAUCCAUGAGAAACUCAUGAGCGAGAGCAAUCAAUGGAACCUUACGACAAAGGGAGUCACAAAGGGUUCAAUAAUCAAGCAUUGGGCUGUUCUUGACUUCACUGCAUCCGAGAGUUUGAAAAAAAAGAUGCCUGGUUACUUUGUAAAUAAACUCAUCGAACGUUGUAAGGGACUUGGGAUGCAGAUGGAGGCUCCUAUCGUUUGCAAAACAUCGAGUAUGGAAACACUUUAUGAUGGUAAUGCUCUUGAGGAAUUGCUUCGAUCCGUGAUAGAUGAGGCUUCUCAUAACCAUGGUGGGGCUUGUCCAACUCUUGUUCUGUGUGCUAUGACUGGGAAGCACGAUGGAUACAAGACUCUGAAAUGGAUAGCCGAGACCAAACUUGGUCUAGUGACUCAGUGUUUCUUGACCAUAUCUGCCAUUAAAGGAGAAACCGUUUCUGAUCAGUACUUGGCAAAUCUCGCCCUCAAGAUAAACGCAAAGGUUGGUGGAACGAACGUGGAGUUGGUGGAUAAUAUUUUCUCUUUCUUCAAAAAAGAAGAUAAGGUCAUGUUCAUUGGUGCUGAUGUCAAUCAUCCCGCUGCUCACGACAAUAUGAGUCCAUCCAUUGUUGCUGUUGUAGGCACUCUUAACUGGCCUGAAGCUAACCGCUACGCAGCUAGAGUCAAAGCUCAGAGUCACCGUAAAGAAGAGAUACAAGGGUUUGGUGAAACUUGCUGGGAGCUUAUCGAAGCUCAUUCUCAGGCCCCCGAGAAACGACCUAACAAGAUUGUGAUAUUCCGUGAUGGUGUCAGCGAUGGUCAGUUCGAUAUGGUUCUCAAUGUGGAGUUACAGAAUGUUAAGGACGUUUUUGCCAAGGUUGGCUAUAAUCCGCAGAUAACUGUAAUUGUGGCACAGAAACGUCAUCAAACCCGUUUCUUCCCCGCCACAACUAGCAAAGAUGGAAGGGCUAAGGGCAAUGUGCCUUCAGGUACGGUCGUUGAUACCACGAUCAUUCACCCGUUUGAGUAUGAUUUCUACCUCUGUAGUCAACAUGGAGCGAUAGGUACAAGCAAACCAACUCAUUAUUAUGUUCUUUCGGACGAAAUCGGGUUCAACUCGAAUCAGAUUCAGAAACUCAUCUUUGACUUGUGCUUCACGUUUACUCGCUGCACCAAACCGGUCGCUCUGGUUCCUCCGGUUUCUUAUGCUGACAAGGCUGCUUCUAGAGGAAGGGUGUACUACGAGGCAAGCUUAAUGAAGAAGAAUUCUAAGCAGUCGCGUGGAGCGUCUUCGUCUUCUGCCUCGGUUGCCUCUUCAUCCUCUUCUGUCACAAUGGAGGACAAAGAGAUCUUCAAGGUUCACGCAGGCAUCGAGAACUUUAUGUUCUUUGUCUGAAAAAAAGUUUGAUCUUAAAAUAUUUAUCUAAAUAAGAACGUCUCAUUAACGCAGUUCUUACUCCUUUUUCUGAUUAGAAAGGAUGUUUGUGCGUGAAUCUAAUCGUUAGAUAUGCAGUUUGUUUGUUUCCUUUUCGUUGUUGGUGUGUUGAAAAUAGUUUGUAUUUGGUAUUGUAAUGCUCUUUAGAGCUGAAACUAUGUCAUGUUAUGGUAUUUUAUUAUAGUUUUCAGACUUUGGAUUCAAUAAAUAGUUCAUAUUUUGCUACUUCUCUGUUUUGUGAAGGGCUUGAGAACUCAGACAUGAGUACUCUAGUUUUGGGUUUACAUGUUCUGCCUUGUGUCUGAAAUUCCUUUUUUCUAAACCAUCUAUUCAUGUGGAACAUUAUCUAUAAGGUUAUUUUGUGUAAUGAUCAAUUGAUCAUGCAUCUCUACUUUUUUUUUUUUUUUUUUUCUUUUUUUUUUUGUCGUCGAUCAUGCAUCUCUACUACAUAUGCAUUCCAACAAAAAAAACAUAAUGGUGCUCUUGUUUUCGAUAUAAUAUCAGUUAUGGGCUCUCUGUUUUUAUUUUAUUUUAUUGGACCUUACUGAUAUUUCUUGGGUUCAUGAACCAUAGCUAUACCAAAUCAUUAAGGUGGAUUUUGCACGAUUUCUCAAUGUUUAAUUUCAUGUAUUAUAUACUCAUUGAUUGGUUGUUUGCAGAAUCUUAUUUACUACAUUGACUCUCAAGAGUCCCCUCCUAUAUUUCAUCAAAUCUAUCUUUUCAUUUUAUAAUUUUUAUGUAAUGAUAGAUUCCUCAUAAAUGUUUCUUGAAAACUAUAAAAAGGUAACUAACAUUUUUUUCCUAUAUAUAUAUAUGUGUGAUAUAUAUCCCAUAUAAAAAGUAGCAACAAGAAAAUGAUUUUAGAGAAGUGAUACCAAACCAAAUGAAAAAGACAUGAUAGUCGAAGUGAUUCACACGAAUCGAACUAUAAUAAUCUAUACUCUAUCUUAUUCACAUUUUAUCAUCUUUUUGUGUUUCAUGUUAUUUUCUUAUGUAUAUAUUCAUUUUUCGUAUAUUCUUUUGUUUUUAUCAAAAUAAAUUCAUUUUUCUUUUUACCCCACUCAUUAACAUAAGUUAGCCAUAUAUUAUUAUAAGAUUUUUUUCUUGCCAAAUAAAUGUAAGAGUUUCUUUUUCCCACAACUCAUUAACAAAGUUUGGCAUAUGUAAAAAAAAGAAUGAAUUUUAAACCUAAUACUAGCCUUUAAAAUUCAACAAUUAUUUUAUUUUUAUUUUCUUAUUUUCGUGCAACAGCUGGAGUGUUUUUUUUUUUUUUUUUUGUGUUCCCAGAGAUCGAGUGUUUUGUGUUUCUUCUCUCUAUCGUUCACAUUUGAUUAAAGCUAAAGCUUUCUUCUUCUUCAAUUGAUGCUACUUCUGAUUUACCCUUUCUCUGCUUUUUUCUCUCACUCUCUCAGUUUUCUCCUCCUUGAUUCCUAAAGUCUUCUCCUUUGCGUGCAUUUCUUCAAUUUUCAGAUUCUUCCUAAGGUACCCUUCUCAAAAUUCUUCCUUGUUUUGCGAUUCUUCAUCGGUUCAAUGGAUCCUCUUUGACUUCGAUUUUGAAUCCGAGCUUCGUUAUCCCUCGAUUGCUAAUUUCACUCUUUUGUUUAGGAUUCUUUCCCCAAUCUAGGUAUUGCUUUGCUUCUCUGUAUCUAUCGAAUCUGCAUUUUGUUAGUUUCGAAAAUUUUGAAAUUAGGGUUCAUUUGUGAUUUGUUCAUACAUCUUUGUUAGAUUGCAGAAUCUGUUCAUCAUUUUUCGAAUUCACAUAACUCAGAUUAGUUUGAAUCUAUUGAGAUUGAGAAAUUUCUUAAAAACUCUGGAUUUGUGUGGAUUAAGAUUAGUGUUUUGAGAUUGAUCUCUUUGUCAAUAUGGUUUUUUUUGGUGUAGGUGGUAGAAUGAUGAAAUGAGAAUCGAUAGAUAAGAGUUUAAAGAGCACCAGAAUCUUUGUUAUCUUGCAAUGUCGACGACGUCUUUGCAAACGAUUGGUGCUAUUAAGUCUUAUCAUCAUCAAGCUCAGCAUUUGGUUAAGAAUUAUCUCUUAGCUGAUCCUUUUAUUCCUUACACUUCUGUCCUCACCGGCAUUUUCCUUUGCAAAGUGGUAAGUUUGGAUUUUUGUUUGUUACUUUCAUGAUUCUGUAGAUCUAGGGACGAUUGAUUAAUGAUGGUUACGUUUCUUGUUUUGUUUGCAGGUUUAUGAUCUUUGUCAUUUUAUCAGCAACUCACAUUCUAAGACUUAUAUCAUCCUCACGAAAAUUCAAAGAAUCGAAUGGAAUAACCGGUUUGUGUUUGAUGAUUGUUAACUCUUUUUCAUGUUGUGUGUGUGUGUGUGUCUAUUUAGGUUUUUGAAUCGUUUUGUAUUGUUUGGCAGUGGUAUCUCGACAGUUCAUGCUAUUUUUAUUUCGGCUAUGUCGCUGUACUUUGUGUUCUGGUCCGACCUCUUUUCCGAUAGGUGGCAUAAUGAUCUUGUUGUUUUCCGGAGCUCACGACUUUCUUCUCUUGGUUUAGGGGUAAGCACUCAUUUUAGUGGAUCCAAAAACGUUAAUGUAAAAGUCUAUGAGAGAAGAAUUUCAACAUUAUUACAUUAAUGAUUUGCAGAUAUCUAUUGGUUACUUCCUUGCUGAUCUUGGGAUGAUCUUCUGGAAAUAUCCUUCUUUGGGUGGAAUUGAGUAUGUAAGUACUUGUUCUUGUCCAAACACUUUACUCUAUCUAGUGAUUUCUCUCCAAAGAUAUUCAAAAUCCUCCUUAUAUUCUGCUUGUUGAUGUUUCAAGGCUUAUAUACUUGCCUUGCUACAUUGCUCAACAUUACUAAUGUGUAAAGAUAGCUAACGCCAGUCGCCAAAAGCCCAAAACUAAGAUCAAGUUGACAUUUUGAUUUCAGAUUGUGCAUCACUCGCUAUCGGGGGUUGCAGUUGCCUACUCUUUAUUUUCCGGGGAAGGACAGUUAUAUACCUACAUGGUCCUCAUCUCCGAGAUUACAACCCCAGAGAUCAACUUGAGAUGGUACUUCCUCUUUUCUUCGUUAUACCAUAUACAAAACUUAUCACGUUCGCAACCUUUCUCCUGACAAAAAAGUGGAUUGUCUCGGUGGUCUUAUGAAGGUACCUGGACACGGCUGGUAUGAAAAAAUCAUUGGCAUACGUUGUUAAUGGCGUUUUCAUCUUCUUGGCUUGGCUGGUACUUACAAAUCCUAAUCAACAUUCGACUCAUUUUGAUACUAGGCAUUUAUGUGUCUACUUAUCACUCAAACACUUUCAUGUCAGGUUGCUAGAAUUCUACUGUUCAUAUACAUGUUUUAUCAUGUUUAUCUCCACUACAACCAGGUAAAGCUCACUAUCUAGCGGUUUUAUUGAUUAUGCUGAUACCCAAUUGCUUCAAAACCUUCCCCAUGAAAUUAAUACAUCACUAUGGUUUCAUUUCCGGAUUUUUUUUUAUGGUGUGAUUGAAAUGGAAUUACUUUGUUUUGUGGGUAGGUCAUGAGGAUGCACAUCUUUGGUUACGUUCUGGUAUUCGGCGUACCAGCUGCGCUCGGUGUCAUGAACUUGAUAUGGUUCGGGAAGAUUGUGAGAGGGGUAAAGAAAACAUUAGCAAAGAGAUGUGAAUGUUGAGAUUGGUGAGUCUUCCUCACACCGUUUCUUCACUUCAUCAUCUCCUUACUUCUUCGUCCCUCUGACAUAUGCCUGUCUCUCUAGUGUAAGUAGUUUUUGUCUGAUGAAGAAAGAAAAACGAAAAAACAAAAAUGAUAAUGAUACGAUCCUCUGACUCUGUAAAUGAUCAAAAUUCAAGUCUCUUCUUUACGUUUUCUCAUUAUACAAUGUAAUUCUGUUUUCAUUCUAAUAGUUUUGGUUCUAGGGUUUUGAUUCAAUUUCUGCUACAUUUCGUUUAACCGGAGUUCGAUACAGUACUACCAAAAUGAUGAACAACUGUUUGGUGUUCAAGUUCUAUGGAAGAGAAAACAUUUGGUCACCGGUUUACUAUUUUUUUGUUCAAUAUUCUCAGUAACAACAACAUAACUAUUGCACAUACAUCAACAUAGGGAUUGUAAUUAAAUAGUUAGAUAAAGAAUCAAAGUUUAGACAUUAUAACAGCUAGCAGAAAAUAACAUAGUGUAGAGUUUGGUGGAAUACAUGUAUUUAAACUCGGCUCGUGAAGGCCAUUAUAUGUCUAGCUGUUCGUGGUUAUCGUCGGCUUAUAGGCCCAUUCAGUGAACACAACUGCACAAUAUGUCACAUGAAUUGCGUAUUCGUAUGUCGACAUCAAUGAGUUAGGAUAAUGUACGGAUACAAACAAAGCUAUGUGGCUGAUUCUGUAUUUAGUCUUGUUUACUUUAAUUUCCAUUGUUUCUAUAAGAAAAAAAAAUAGUGUUUCUUUCUUUUCUUUUGUUAAAAAGAAUAGUGCUUCUUAUUAGAAAAAAAAAAAAAAUGUCAACACUAUUCAUUCUACCGGUUUUGAUCCGAAUAGUGAUAGAAUAAUGACAUUUUUACACAAAUUAUUAGAAGUUAAUCGGUGUAUAACCACAUAAAUAAACCAUAUAAUCUAAAGUUUUUUGUUUGUAUAUCAGUCACAGUAAAACAAUUUAUAAUCACACGAAUAGAUUUUUAUAGAUUGGAUUUCAGGUACAAUUUGGUGUGUCAUAAGUUAACAUAGCGCACCAGUCUCUAUCUAGAAAUGUUUUCUAUUUUCAUUUCAUUAUUAUUAUUGGUCAUUAUUUCAACACAGCUCACUUUCUCUGUAGAAAAGCUGCAUCUGUGAAGGGUGUGGGGGAAGAAAAAGAGAAGCACUUUUGGCCAUAGAGUACAAACACUAUACACAUUACAUACAUCACUUCUUUUUUCUUUCUAUAAACAUUUGUAUAUAUGAAAAACAUUAUAUUAUAUCAUAUUAUAUUUGCUUCCCCAAAUUGGCCCAUUGUGAUUUAUUGUUGUGACCCCUCAUGGGUUCCUUUUAUUUCCCCUUUUUCACUAACAAAUAAAAUAUUGAACUAUCGUGUUCAUAAGAUGGACCUUACGUGUGUUUAUAGGAUCUGCAUUGACUAUGUAUCUAUAUGAAGCAUGGUUAUUCAAGUUCCACUUAGUAUUUUAUUUGUUACAUAAGGUUUCCACUUUUCUUUAACUACAUUCUUAGUUGUUGAAAUCUAGUUAUAGGGAAAACUCGAAACUGAAAUAGGGCUUAAGUUGUUCUACAUAAACCCCACCAAGGUAGGAUUGUUAACUAAGCUAGGGUUAAAGUUAAAGUACGUUAAUAUGUUGCAGACCAUAUCUUUUUCUUUUAUAAAACGGUAUGCCGCAAACUUACUCACUUCACUAUUAACUACAUUAUUCUUAAAUUUCAACUAUACCAUCUUAAACUUUUGAUUAACAAUUAGAAAGUUUGUGUCACUAAGCUUUUGAUGCAUUGAAGAAAGAGAGAGAGAAGAAUGAGAAGGGAACCAAUAAUACUCAAUAGAAUGGCCUCCACACUCUUCCCCUUCCUUUGACUGCUCUCUCUGCCCCCUUUGACCACUUUCUCUCUCACUUAAAUGCUUCCCCCACGCACCUCUCUCUUGUGCGUUCACUCACGCUCCAAAUCCAAAAGUUUCACAACUUCUUUUUUUCUUUAAUUGCAUGAUUAUGUCCAUGAUUAGCUUUCGACUACGUCCUUCUAACACCAAUGCUAUAUUGAGUAAGUUGCAUUACAUUUACGUGUAUCCGUUCAAGUCUUUUCAUAAUCUCAAACCGUCUAAAUCAAGUAUCUCUCUAGCUAAUACGAUACUACAAUGUAGUUUGCGUUCAUAUGGUUAUGAAAACUCAAACAUAUUUAGAUAACAAGUAACAAAAGAUAUGGUUUUGACCUAAUUAAAAAAAGACUAAGCACCUUAAUUUGGUGUAGUUAAAUUCUAUAUAUAGGAACCUAAAAUAUUUUUAACCACAUAAAUAUUAUGAAUCCAUAUCUAGUCUAAACUUAUUAUGUUGAAACAUAUCGCAUUAGGUGAUAUGAAAUUGAUCCACAGUUUAACCAUGUAUAUUAAUCAACUUUAUAUGAUCACAUUUCAAUUUAUAUUGCAUGGAAUCAACAAUUUACUUAAGAAAACAUUGAGAGUGAUGAAAACAAGAUUAAUUAAGACUUCAAUAUCAAUUUAUGUACUCCGAUCAUCACGCUCAACAAUUUAAUCACUUCCCUAAUCAAAUUAACUACAUAAUAAUCAUUUAAAUUACUAUGGUACUGGACCUCCUUGAUGCUAAUUAUUAUGGCGAGAAGAAGAAGCCAGAGCGAAAAUGGAGCUAGCUAGCUUAUUAAUGGCUUCCACUAAUCCAUUCAUGCCUUCUCUAUUCAUCUCAACAUUAGAUUCUUCGAUCUUGAGUCUCCUCUCUUGUACGUUCAUCACUUCUUUAUGUCUCCGAUCUUGUCUCUCCUCACUCUCCCUAAUCGCGUUUGCGAUCACUGACACACUCCUUGAUAACGCAGCCGCUACUGUCGUCUCUUCAUCUCUCUUACUACGUCCAACCUCCUCCACAUCUACACCGCCGCCGCUGGGACCGGCGGUUGUGGUUGUCGGCAUUGUUCUCCUUCUCUUCGCCGGAGAUGUGUCUGAAUACUCACUUGUAUCAGAAUCUGUGCUACUAUCCUUCUUCAACCAAGUUAUCAAACAUAAUCCAAACCAAAUUACUAGUUAAUAUAAAAAAAUAUUAAAGAUAAUGUAAUGUAUAUAUUAUUUGUACUUCUUCACUGAAAAUAAUAAAGUGUUUAAUUAAGAGUUGUAUCAAACAAAAGUAUACAUAAGAGUGUGCAUUAAACUGUAUAUUAAAGAUUUUAUUUCUCAAGUGUAAUCAGACAUAAAUUACAAAUGUAUGUUUUUCUUUAAAUGUCAGAUUAUUUAACUCUCAAAUAAUAAAAACUAAACUUAGAAGUUAAGAAGAGAGAGAAAGAAGGUACCUACUGUGGGCAGUAUUGGCUGAGCAUGAAAAGAAGGCGGUGGAGGCGGUGGCAGUAGUAGUGGUCGUGGUAACGGCUGAGACGGUGGUGGUGGCGGCGGUGGCUGAAGUGGUAACAAAACAGGUUGCUGCUGAAUGAUUUGAUGUACUUUAGGAACAACAAAUCCUAAACCUUGUUGUAUCACUUUUUGGAUUUGUCCACCGCCUGAACCGUUUCCACUACUAAUAGCAGCAGCAGCAGCCGCAACUGCAGCGGUUACAGCGGUUACGGCGGUAGAAGAAGGAAGCGUUUUACUCUCAACAACUUCAAACAAAGCUUGGUAUGUUUGAGGUAACAUAUUACUUGGUAAGCUUCUCUCUUUCCUCUCACUCUUCUCCAUCUUCCAGUACGACGCCGUUUCUCCAGCUGGAGCUGAAGAUGAAGACGACUCACCGGCGGUAAUAGACGAUUCUACCCUUCGUCUCUCGUACUCUCUAACUUUUUUGUAGUCUCUCAUGAGAUUGUCCCAUUUGUCAUUGCACUGAUUCUGACUUCUCAUACAACCUUUUCUCCAACAGUAAUCUUCUAUCCACUUCCACCGUAGCUCCGCCGGUUUAUUACUCCGGAUAUCUUGUUGCUGCUCCGGCGGUGGAAGGCCGAUGGACCGCCGCAUCCUCCUCUCAUCAUCCAUCCUCUUGGCCUCAAUGAGAACCAUCGUCUCAUUCAACGUCCAGUUGCCUUUUCUGUACUCUCUCAUCAUAACCAACCCACCACUUUGGUCAGCCAUGUUUUCUUGAAAUCUUGAAAAAUCAAGAACUAGAGAGAGAGAGAGGCUUUUGGUAGGUGUUGGAGAAAGGGGAGAAGAAAGGGAUUGUCUUGAGGUGGGGAUAGGUGUAGUGUUAUGUGUGUUUAAGUUUUGGGGAUAGUUCUGAUUAUUAUUUUAUUUUGUGGGUGUGUGAUUGAGAAGACUGGUCAAAAUCUUUUUGUUGUAGUACUAAGAUUGUCACCAAGUGCAAUGAGAAAGGACAAGUAUUGCAAUAUUGGGAGCCAAGUGAAAAGAAAACUAUGUAAUGUGUAACCCAUUCAUUCAUUAAAUUUUGUUUGUUUGUUUUGGCAACAUUCAUUCAUUAGUUUAUUAAACUGACCAUUUUCUUUUCUUUCAUUUUCUUAUAAAAUGUUCAUUCAUUCAUGUCUCUCUUAAUUUCUUUGGGGACAGGAAAUCUUAGGUGAAUCUAGCAUUUCUAAUUAUGUAUACAAUUUCAAAUAGAUGGAGUUAAUGUUUCAAUGUUUCAUAAAAUCUACUUCCCCACUGUUUCUUAAAUAAUCACAAUGGUGAACAUUUGUGAUUUGUAGAUUUAUCAAAAACGAAGUAAAUGUGGUACGUAUAAAUUUAGAGACCAACAUUAUUGGUCACAAAUUUGUGACUAUUUAGCAACGUUAUUGUGACUAUAUUUAUGAAAAUCAGAUGAGAAAUUAGUAAAUGAAAAUCGAGAAGAACAUAUCUAUUGAUUUUUUUUCUUGUUGUUAGGUUUUUCAAUCACCAUUUGCUACAUAUUUAAAUACCAUAAGUUUUCUAUGUUAUGAAAGGUAGGCAGAGCUAGACGUGUAUAUAUACACGACAAAAUAUCAAGAAAACCACAAAUGAGAACAAUGCGAUUUCGAUAAAUUUUAUUAGUUUAGGACCACAAAUAGUUCAUAAGCGGUCUUAUUCAACAAGGCAAUUGCAUGAGUGAUGUAUCUGUUUUCAAACUUAUAAGAAAUUGGAAGAUUUUGGAGGCAUCCUAUGUAGAUCUCGUUUCCAUUUUAAUAAAACAAAUAAAGUGAUGUAUAUACUUUUUUCAAACUUCGAAAAGCUAUUGGCUUUGCAUGAUGAUUGCUUCUCAUACUUUCUUUUUAAAAAGGAUUUGAUUUACGAAUCUCUAAUUCAUGUGCACGAGCUAUAAGUAGAAGAGUAUAGUUACUUUUUUAAUUGUCUUUGCCUUGAACCUUAUUUAUGCGCAUGUAUGUUUGUAGAAUAUGUGAAUGCUUAGUUUCCUUAUUAAUAUAAUUGUAUGACAAUUGGACUCCUGUAUAGGGAUUUCUUAUUAGGUUUCUUACACAAAACAUGUUUAGAAAUAUAUACACACAUGAAACAUUCCUCGGACUGGAAAGUCUCAUAGCUAGAUCCAACAUAGAAUGAAUAUAACAUCAUGCAAAUUUUCAAAGGACAUCAAACAAAGUUGUACAUAACUACAUAUAUAUAUCCUUCAAAAUUUGAAAUUAAUUUUUAGUUAAAAAAAUUUCAUUUUAUAUAUCAUUUUUGGUAAUUAUAAGAUCUUAUAUCAAAUUUGAAUUUUUGUCAUAUCUGUAAUCAAUAUAUAAAUUUUUGUGAAAAGUAAAAAAGGUUUAAUGCAAAUCGAUUUUUCAUUUCAACUACAAUUUCUAGCACCAAACAAUUAUUUGUUGGUUAAAAUUUUAUAUUAUGUAAAUAUUUUAGAAAAUCUACUGCAAUGUGACCUUAAAGUUUAAACGCAUACAAAUAUUUUUUUUUCAUAAUUUCUCACAGUAAUUAGAUGUAUCAAUGCGUUGCAUGGUGCACUCAUAACUUCUUCUUUUUUCUUAAACAGUAUCAUUUGCUCUAAAGAACUUUCUCACUAAUCAAAAUAGAUAAAAUAAUAUAUGGAUACUAAUUUGCGUACACUACGUAAGUUGCAUUGCAUGGCGAGGGAUAUUAUUACAUCCCAUAUGAAAAACACAGACCGUUCAUCAUUGUCUGCACAAUAAUACGUAAACAAUCAAGUUCCCACGUUACAAGUCUACGAUACAGAGAUAUAAGUCUUUCAUGAAAGUCUAAAAACAAAUGAUUUCUUAGGAAAUGUAAUGUAUAAGAAAAUUACGACCAACUUUUUGAAAUAUAUAUAUUUAUAUCCAAAUUUUUUUUGGAUGAUUUAUACGCGAAAAUCAAAAUUGUAUUUUUUCAUCUACAUAUAUAUAUAUAUAUAUAUAUAUAUAUACAUUACUCCGAAGUCCGAACAAACAAACGUGUGUAUCAAAUAAGAUAAGUCGAUCAGUAAUUCCAGUGCCGGCUCUAGGGGAGUGCUAGAGGAGCAAAAGCACAGAGUCCUCAAUUAUUUUUUCAAAUUUUUUUUCAAUUUUCUUUAAGGUUUUAGGGUCCAAAAUUUUCAAAAAUUAAAAACCAAUAUUAACUAAAGUCAGUUUUUAUAAAUCAGCACAAGGUAUUCAAAAAGUUUGAGCCGGCCCUGAGUAAUUCCUAUCAGUUCUGUACUAAGAACAUUGAACUAAUACUAGUGGUAUUGCUCAUGUUGUCAUGGGAAGAGCCUUGUCUACAUGUAAUUUAUACAUCCGAAAAAAAUGUUUGAUUUCAAAUAACUUGUUGAUAUAUUGCAACUCUACUUUACAACAUCACAUAUGUUCGAAAUAAAAAAUUUUCAAAAAGCUUUCAAAUAUCUUUACUUUGUUUUUAUUAAAUUUUAAAUAAUUUAAGACGUCUUUCAUGAGAAUGUGUGUGUCUAUUCUAUACCUAUACCUACAUAUUUAUAAGUAUGAUUUGCUUCAAAGUCGAUGAUAUAUCAAUAAAAUAAAUAAAGAAAUAAAAUUAAACAAGUAAAGGAUCUAUCGAAAUUUGCAUGGAGGAGUGGAUUGAAUCAUAUGUAGUUCUGCAUGCAUGGAUCGUGUAUGCUUUUCGUAAAGAUCAUAUCUCUUAGACCUUCAAAGUUUAUUUGCUUUAAAUAAAUAAAUCAAAUCUAGUAUCAAAAGCAUACAUGAAUCAAUAACAAGACCGACGUUACAUACAACCUUAACAAUCAUUAAAAUGCUAUGUCUCUAUUUCUCUCUCUCGUCUUAUUUAUGUUUGUUUGAUGGUUGACAUGCAUGCCACUAUAAUUAGUCACGUCAAAACAAUGAAACCCUAAGGUAAAAGUAUAUACUUUAAAUUUUUAAAAUGAAUAUUCUUUUUUGUCAUGAUAUGAUCAAGCUAUUGAUAUUUUGUUCUUCUUAAAAUAGUGCUUGUUCAAAAUAUGAAAUCGAAAUCUUUCACUUCAAACCAAAAAAAGAAAAGAAAAUCGAAGUCUAUACAUGCAAGGAGUCGAUAGUAUUUGCAAGGAAUUUGUGGUUUCAACUUCCAGUAAUCAUGACUCAUCACGACCCUAUAAGUAAUAAUAUGCACAAAAUCAAAAUAUACAGUAAUUAAUAAAAACUAAUUACGUUGCAUCUUUUUUCUGUACUUUUUCGAAGAAAACGGAAAGCGUGUUUUGUUUCUUCUAAACGGACGCUAAAUUCAAAUCUUGGAUGUGCCUAAUCGAUUCAAGUAGCUCAGUUUUGGACGUCCACCAGAAUUUUUCCGAUAACAUUUUCGUUUAUAUUAAUAUGAUUUGCUAAUUUCUAAGAUUUCUCGGAUGAUUUGAUGAUAUGGUUCACUUGAUGCUAAAUUACUAACUAAAAACGAAAAGAAAAGUUUUGUGGUGAAAUUGGUGAUGGAAGAAAAUGAAUAUGAGGAACUUGAUGGAUGCUCAGAAAAUUUAAAAUAGAAGUUGAUUAAGACAUUGAAAACCACUUUAAAACUAUAUUGUAAGGUUUCUUAAUUAUGUGAUAAUAUAUCGUACAAAAUUUAUAAGAAUUACUUUAUAAUAGUUUUACCUUAAAAAUAAAAUUUGAUGUGUAAAAUUAAGAGAUAGUUAGUUCAAUAUUUCACUAAAGCAAAUAAUAUAAAUUAAAACCUGUCAAAACUAACGAUGAGUAACAAAAAAAUUACACAAUCGUCUUAUCACUUUGCUUUUACAACUUUGUUUUGCGUUUUUCAGUUGAAAACAUCUAAAUAUUAGAAAUGAUAUCAUUAAACCUUUGAUAUACGGUCUUCAGUUUUUUUGGGUGAUCGUGUUUUUGAAAUCAAGUGUUUCUAGAUAUGCUGAUGCGUUGUUGCUUCAUUAAUAAGACAAAUUUGUUUUCGACAAUUUUAAUAUUUUGAUUUUGCUAAAUCUGUCGUCAAUUAAGUAGAAAAAUAAUUACACGAAAAUAUAGUAGCUAUGAUGGUGUUAAUUAACUGAAUGGGAUGUGAUGACUUUGAUUGAAAUUUACAUUUUCAUGGUUAGAAUAUCCAAAACAAUGCGUGAUCUCAAUAUUUUCUUACAUAUGCUUGAAAUUUUGUUGUGAAUUGUUUUCUAAAACUACGAAAUAAAGUUGGUAAAGCAAAUAAUAUAACGAUUGUGUUUUUCUUUUUUUUUGAAAUCCAGGAGGUUCUGGACCGAAGCCUCUAAUUCCCCAGGUCCAAAACCACAGCAUGUAAUAUUAGUUUCGUCCCAAGCGUCACUCGAACCGGCGACUUCUAAGUUUCGCGUAGGAUUUUUACCAAUUGAGCUAACGACACUUGGUAUAGCGAUUGUGUUUUGCUUGUUAGUUUUUAAGUGUUUUUCUUUUUUUGAAUUUUGUCUUUUUUAUUUUUGCAAAAAAAUUUGUUUACUCCAACCUUCAAUAAUGGAUUGAAUGUGGGUAAAGAGGACAACAUGGUACAUUUCUAGCCAAUUUGAUUUUUUAAAGAGAGGAUUAUAUGAGAAAACUAAUAAACGAGAAAACAAAAGUCCAUUUCGUCCUUUAGGACAGGACACUGAAAAGCCUGCGUCGCCACGUCAGCUUUUUUCAAGUAAUUUAAUAGUGUGCCAGCUAGGACCCCCCAAGUAUUCCCUUUGACCAAUCACUUUUGUAGGUUUGCAAUUGCAAUGCGUCUAAAUAACAUUAUUUUUGCAAUCCUUUUACUUUGGUUUUAUAUUCAUUCACUUAGGUAAAGUGAUAUCAUAAAAUAUCCAUACGAACACUUCUAACAUCCACGAGCUAAAUUGACUCAACUCCUCUCAAAAUCUAGGUUUUGGUCAUUUCUUUCAACUUCUCGUUGCAACUGUAAAUUUAUGGGACAAUCCAUAACUAUCAGAACGAGAUGAUUUAAGUGACCGAAGGACCAAUAUGAUACAUAAAAAGGUUCGAAGGGCUUUUUAAUUCAUGAUAGGGCUUUUUAAAGGGCUUAGCCCAUCAAGUAACAUAUGAAUACCGAAUAUGUUUUUUUUUUCUAUUUGAUUUAAAAUUGUUGAUUUAUCAAAGACAGUAGCUGAACUGAACCAAUAUCAAUUUUCGCUCUGCUUAUUUUCAUAAUUUUCUUUUUAUGUAUGGACAAAAUUUCUUUAUAUCAAAUCAACAAUUUUAUAUAACAAAGUUUUCUUUAUACUUGUUUAUUUCAUUUUGUCAUAUUAAAUCUCUGUUAAGACAGUGUUAAUCGACGUCUAUCUUAAGCCCAUAAAGUUUAGAGCUAACUUUGGACAAUGCUUAAGAGUUAAUACACAUAAUUAUUAUAUAUUCUAAACUAUUUAAUUAUUUCCAGAUAUCUAUAUAUGCUCUUCCUCAAUUUUGUUUAUUUUGUAAAUUUAUGGUUUAGAUAUAUAUAUAUAUUAAUAUAUAUAAUAUUUUAUGUAUAGGGGUGUGCUAUUUUUUUUAUUAAUCAAUGAUGUAUCUUUAAGAAAUAUAAUAAAAACAAAAAUCAUAUUCGUUUAUGAAAUUUUUUAUUAACAAGAAAAAAACGAAAACAUAAAUGUAUAAUUUAAAUUUUCAAAAUUAGUUGGUAAAUCUUACUGCCCCAUUUAAAUUGGACACUAGGUCCCCAAGUGUUGGGCAUGCCUUUAUAUGGUUUUUACUUUUAAUGACCAAAAAGUGUGAUAACCCCUCUUGGGUCCCAAACUUCCUUAAACAAUAAUUAUACAAAUAUGUUAAGAACAUAAGUAAAAUAAAAAAGAAAAAAUUAUACAAUCUAAAAUGUUAAUAGGUUUAUAUGUAAAUUUACCAUUUAGCUAGAGUCAUUUACAAAUUUGUGAUAUUCUUACUAAACAUUGUAAAAUUAGAAUACGUACGACCAAAUAUGAACAUUGAACUUGUCACAUAUAUUGCCUCAUUAAGUAAUAAUACGUAUAUACUGUCAAUCUGUCAUCCAAAGAUAGGUAUAUUACUUUUCUUCGUUUUCAAGUAAAUAAAAGCCUCAUAUAGUACUAAACUAAUUAAUUAUGCUUACAAAAAUAUAGUACUUGGAUUGAGAUAUCAUAAAAGAUAUAAAUAUGUCUUUAAAACCUUACUCUUUAAAAUAGAAAACAGAAAACGUUCACUAGUCAAGUUAAUUCUUGUUAAACUCGACAAGACGUGAAAGUAAAUAAGGAUAUGUACAUGCAUUGUCGUCGAUCUUAUCGCAUCUUCUUCUUUAAUAAAUUUCUUGCUCAAGAUUACAACAUAUUUGUCGGCUCGACCACGAUAAUUCCCCAGAUAAAAUUUAAUAUUUUCUUUGCAGUUUUUUAGUAAACACCAAUGGUUUGCAUCUUUUGAAUAUUUUAAUGAAUUGGUGAAAUUGAGAUAAGUUUUACGUAUCCGAUUAAUAUAGAAGUUCCAAUGGCCAUAACAAAUAGUUGCUUCAUGGUUGCAUAUUUAUACUACAUAUAUCUAUUCUAUAUACCAACUUGUUUUUUAACUGCACGUUCUAUUAUAUAUUAUUAUUUAGGAGUUGUUUCAAGAAAAUAAAAUCAAAUGUCAAUGUUUCUUAUUGUUAAAAAAUUUCUAGUUCUUAGAAAAACUUUUAUCAUUUGAAAAAUUAUAUUAGUAACAUUUUAAAUGUUUUGACAUAGUGGAGUAUCUUAUCUAGUAUUCUUAGUAUGCUGACAUAAUCAUUAUGGUAAUUACUUUAUUGAAUUGGGUUUAUAUUGACAAACGUAAAGUUUGAUAAUUUCAUUUCAAUAAUUGUUGAUAUACUUUUCUCACAUUACGCUUAAACGACAAGGCACUAAACUAUCCAUGAUGUAACCCUCCAACAAAUCAACAUUUAUAUUUCCAAAUUUCCCCUUGCGGUCACCAAAAGCUAAUUACUUUCCUUCUUCUAUUUAUUUCAAUACUAAAACAUAAAAAGCCCAAUUCCAAAAGAUUACACUUGUCUUUAAAUAUUUUCGGCAAAUACUUAAGAAAUAAAUGAAGAAAAGAAUAACCGGCGUUGAAGAUUUUGGGUUUUUUUUUUACUUAGAGAGAGUAUAUAUGAAUUCUAUACUAUACUCCUGCUGUUCUUUAUUAAUUGAUUUUUUAGAAGAAAAAAAACUGUUUCAAAAAGAUUUAUUUUUAAGAUUUUUUUAUGCACUAUGUAUUAGUUAUUAUUGAUGAAUUUAUUAUUGAUAAAUUUUAAACUUCAAGAUAAGUAACUAAAUACCAUUGGUUUAUAAUUAUAGAAAAAUGUAAAUUACAAAGACUGAUACAUUUGUAAUCAAUUUUAAUAUAUUUUUUAAAUUUGUGUGUUUUUUAGAAAAUUAAUUUAAAAAACAGAUGGAGUAUAUAAUUGAUAAUUUUUUAGUUAUAUUAGAACCAGCAAUUUUAAAAAGCAAAGUUCUGGUUUUAGUUGAGUGAAGUGCUGUCCCUGACCUACAACAGUACAACCUAACAUACUAGUGUUUUAGACAUUAAUACUCAUUAACAAAAAUAUUUGUUUUAGACACUAAAACUGGACCGGGUUUGGAUUUGAGUAUUAUGUUUAUGUAUUUUUUGUUGGCGAAAAAUCAAUCUUUGUCUGAAAAGCUACAUAGCCUUGACUACUAUGGAAAAAGAAAAUUUAUCCACAAUGUUACAUGUAUCGUAUUUAACAAUUUAGAUAUAACAAACCAAAUAUAUAAUAGGAAUUUCGAUCACAUAUGUAUAGCACUUUCUUUUUUAUUGUUUUACGAACUUUUUUUGCUAGUUACCCGGUUCAUCAAAAUUUAAUUUGUUGACUGUGGGAGUCAUAUAUCUUGAGUUUGUUUGGCCAAUAAUCUAAAGCUAAUGGAUGAACGAUCAGGAAGAUGCAAACUACAUUAUCCAUCAAUUACUCCAAGUCGUGGCCAAAGGCAAUAUUUUCUCAUCAAAGUAAGAAUUCAACGUCUAACAAAUAUUCAAAUCAAUUUCUGCAUUUGCAGGGAAGGAGAAUGAAGAAAAUGAAGUGGCAAGCAGUGUAAAACUAUAUACGAUUAGAAAAAAUAUAACAAAUUUUAGCGAAUACGAUUAUAAAAUUAUAUACCCAACAUAUUCUUUGUAUGUAUAUUUUUUAACAUAAGUAGUGAGCAUUAAUGUUGUCGACGAAAAUUUCAUUGUUAGGUAGGGGCCAUAAUGAUAUGGAAGUGAUCUUCUGCUUAAUUAAUUGUAGUUUUAAAGUCCAUGACCAGUUCUUUUCAUUGAGAAAUAAAUUCCUCUCCAAUCUAAAUCUAGUUUUAGAUUUUUGUUUACCAUUUUUUUAUUUGAAUUUCCAUCAACCGAAAGAGCUUUUCUUUUGGUUUGCUUUAUUUCUUUUUUCAUGCUCUUUCAACCGUCAAAGUAACGUCUCUAGUCUCUUUGUCUACUUCAGUUAACAGUCUUCUACUCUCUCUCUUUCUUUUAUCUUUUCUCUUUUUGUUUGAACCUCUUGCCUUGAGGAACAAAGUGUUGAAACAUAAAUUAAGAGAUGCAAUUUGUAAGAAUUCAUACACACAAAAGAUAUAGUCGGAACAUUGGAUUAUGUUUUUCAAUCUAAGUAACGGAACAUAGGUUCAUAUACUGAAUUUGUUAAUGAUUUUUAAAAAAAAUCUCAUACAGUAUAUAUCGUUUGUAUAAAAUUUAUUAGAUUUAAGUGAUAAUUUGAUUGAUUAAAGGGAAGCUAAUCAUCAAUAUCAUGCUGAAUACUUUUGAUCAUGAGAGUUGCUUUUUGAUUAUAUUAUAACUAACUUCUUGGGAUGAUUAACUUAAAACUAUAUUAAUUUCAUUUUUAAAAUGGUUUAGUUAGGUAUACUAUUAACUCAUGGUUUGAUUGGUAAUUUUUAACCGCCUCGUCUGUAACCGAAACGCUUUGAAAGUUAUCAAUAAAUAAAGCGAUUAAAAGAAGCGGUUGGAAUAAGUAGAUUGUUGUAGAGAGAUGUUGGGAGAGAAAAAAAAAUAAGACGGUUGGAUUUGUUUUUUAUUUAUUUAUAAAUUCACAUAUAUUAAUCAUAAUUUAAUUUCUUUUUAUUAUUUUUAUUUCAACGUUCCUAUUAUUUGACCGCUUGUUAUCAAUCAUAACCAUAAUUUUACAGCUCAUUUUAAUUUAUUCACCUUCUCUUCUGCUUGCUCUAACAAUUUUGUUCAACAACUGCUAAAAAAACUGUUAACUAUAUUUGUGAACGAUGUUAUCAAUGGAACCCUCAGUCGUUUGGGUUGAGGAAAUUAGAAAGUAACAUUAUUAAGUCAGGGAGAGGUUACAAAAAGAAGGGACAAUAAUAGGUAAUCAAUAGGGUUGUUGCAUUCUUAAUUUGACAAAUUAACUACCACUGAUUUUUAUAAUUACAACAAGAGUUGACCAAUUGUAAUAAUAACACUCAUGAUGUAAUGACAAAAUUAUAUAUUGCAUGAGUAGUUUGUACAUUAUAUUUCGUAAAAAUGACUAAUUCAAGGACCCCAUAUAAUGAUAUAUAUACUCUACUUCUUAAGUAAAGUUACCCAAGUUUUGUUCCAAAAAAAAACGUAUAGUUACCUAAGUAUGACUAUUAGAAGGGGGCUAUUUAAUUUAAGGAUUGUCAAGAAAUAUUAAAAACUUUUCAAACAAGUGUUUUUUUAUAAUGUUAAUUUAUCCUCUUUACCUUUUAAUUCAAAUGUUGUUUUAUAUAUAACUUAAAUUUUGUUUGCUAACAAGUAUAGCUUUAGGUUUUCAAUAUAGAUUUUUGAUAAAACUAUCGUUUUAAUGUAUGAAUAAUGAAAAAAAAAUAAAUAUAAUAAUAACUUAAUAAGGGGUAAAAUCCAAAGUUUGUUUUAGAAAGAAAAAAAAAUAUGUGAAAAUUUUAAAUGACACUUACUGUGGAACAGGUGGAGUAUUACUCUUUAAUUAACCACAUUUUAGGUUAUAUUUUCCUAGACAAAGAAUCCAUAGGGAUAAGGAGUGAAUCCUGAACAAAACCCAAUUGAGCCCAAUGAAUAAAAAAGACAUCCAAAGUAGGUUUGAAGGAAAGGAUAGUCCAUGCUCCCUCCAUGUAGAGUGAGUGAUGGUAAGUAAAUGUGUCUUAUGAAGCUAUCGACACCAAGUUGGAGAUAAACAAAAUUGAAAAGCCAAUGUACGUAUGAUGUUGAUUCAGGAUUAAAAAUUUAUAAUAUGGUUAUAAAGUAACAUAUAUCGUGGAUUUGAAAUCUGAAAAAGUCACGUACUGUAUGUUGAAUAUGUAAGGUGUGUUAAUUGUAAAUCAUUAUAUAAUAACAGGUUCAAAGAAAACGAGUAGCCACCUGCCGAUGCAAAUUUUUUUUUGCCAAUUACAGACAAAUCAAAGAUUUGGGAUUGGAGAGGAGAAGAUCUAUUGAAACCGACACAUUAGGUCCAAAACAUUUCAUUUUAAUUAUUAUGAUUUAACGAAAUAGUAAAAUACAUAUAUCAACCUUUUUGGUCCGGUCCCUGUUCUUACGUCUGUGAUCAUAAAGUAUAGAGUGAUUUUUUAUUUUUUUUCAUUAUACAAAUUACAAAUGACUAAUUUAAUUAAUUAGUGAACUUUUAAUUUGUCGAUAACCAAUAAGAAUGAUGGAAAACGGCAAAAGAGUCGACUGUUGAAGUUUGUCGGAAAGACACUCCACCAAAAUAUAAAUACAAAUCUUAUCACUAGUGGAAACUGUCGAGUGUGUGUAGUUCUCUUUUCCUUCUAAUAAAAGAAUAUUAUCUUUCUAAAUUCUUCCAAAUUCAUUUUGGAAUUUUCUUUCCUUUUUCUUUUUGUUGACAUGAAAUUUUGGAGUCUUCUUCUAUCGCCAAUUACGACUAAAAAAACGAUUUUAUAUAUAUCAACAUAGCUCUAACAAGAACAUGAUAAUCGCAAAUAUACAUAGAUUUGCCUAUUUGUACACAAGCAAAGUUAGUUUUAAUACUCAGUAUAUUACAUCUCAUGAAAAGAAUUUACAGUUUUUUCUAUUAAAGCUGUGGGAGUUUUCUUCUAAAAUGUUUUUUUUUGUCGUCCUUGUAAAAUGUUCUACAUUCGUCAUUUUCAGGCUAUCUUUGAUUUCGAAAGCUGUGGGCGUUUUCUUUUUUUAAUUUUUUUAAUUUUUUUUUUUUUUUGUCUUUUUCUACGAAAAUAAAAUAGCGUGCACUGUAUUGUUUCUUUCAACUUUAUUUUUUGACUAGUGAAAGACUAGACAUUUUGUUGCCCUGCCCCUAUAUUUUUUGUGUUUAUUUUAAGGUUGUUUUUUCUCUUUUUAUAAUGACCGUAAAAUGAGUUUUUACAAAAUCUGCUUCAAAUAUGUAAUGAAAACCUUGAUAAUAUGUAAAUGUACUAAAAACAAAAUCUUGAUAUGGGUACAUGUGAAAAUAGUAUAUUUCUGUUCUAAGAAUAUACUGUUUUAUGUUCUAAAAUAUCAACAAAUAGAUAUCUUUGCAUUUUUUUUUAUACAUCAAUAUUAGUAUUACCUACAUUGUCUAAGAGAUGUAACCCAACUUAUGUCGCAACUAGAACUACAUCUCAGAAAUCACCGAGCCGAGAGAAAAUUGUAAGAGUCCUCGACCAGCAAAACGUAGGAACAUCAACUCAAAGCAGUCGAGAAUAAGAACCACUGACUUGCAUCAAAACAGAAGAUCUAACCACACCACACAGAAUCCGAAAAGAAGACAUCCACCAUCGUUUAAACUUUCAACCCUUGACCCAACCACCGGUGAUAAAGACUUGUCCAUUAUAGUUUACUAAAGUUUAUGAUCAAACUUAAAAUAUCUGUUGUUAGAUUGAUACCUCUAAUUCCUUUGAAUUGCUUCUUAGAUUUCCACUUUACCCUUCCACGAUUUUUAAGCAAUGGAAAAUUAAGUUUCAUUUGUUUCAGAUUUUAAUAUUAAUCCCCUUCUAUGCAAAUUGAGGGACCACGUAGAAAGUUGUGAGAAUCUCAAUACACAAAAGAUAUAGAAACAAUGAUUACAUGCACAAGCACGAGGCCAUAAAUUUCCUUAUCCUAUACACAUUUUCAAUAAAGAUGUAACAUUCCAAACAGAAAACCCUCUUGUAGCUCACUCUACAAAAAAAAGAGUAUAGAAUUCCAAUAUUAAAGUUUAUAGGUCGACUAUUUCAAAACCAAUUGCUAUAAAGUAAAUUGAUUAAUAUUUUUAUACUCUCUUCGAUUUAUAAUAUAAGUUGUUUUGGACCAAUUUUUUUGUUUUACAAUUAAAUUGUUUUUAAGUUUUUAUGCAAACUAUAUAUUUAUUUUAAUAUUUUAUAAUUAUUUAUAUUAUGCAGUCUCUUUUGUGAUUGGUUGAACUUUUUAAAAGUAAAUAUUCUUAAUCUUCGUACUUUUAGGUAAAACAACUUAUAUUGUGAAACGGAGGGAGUAUAUCAUUUACAAUUUCUCUUUAUUUAGUUUUGUGGUGAUUCCGAAUAUUAAUUACAACUUGUACCAUUUAAUUCAACCAUAUUCGAAGAAAACAUUAAAGGCAAAACAAAUUAAGGGGAAAAAGAAAUCAAAAGUUAAAAAAAAAAAUUAAGACCAAUGAGAAUAGAUAAGGGGUAAAAGACAAAAAGAGAAUAUAAAAAAAACAAAUAGCAUUUGGCGCCAAAAGUAAAACUAAAAUGGUCAUGUCACGUGAUGUUAAUUUUUGCUCUACGACCAAAGCAAAACAAACCUAAAGUUUUCCAAAUCUCUGGGUCCCACUCUCAGAUGUGCUGACUUUUAUUUUUUUUACUUUUGUCUUAAAUCUUUGGAAAUUUUCAGUUUUAAUUUAAUUUAAUUCAUCUCUCUUUCUCACUCUAUAAAUCCCCACAGAUCCGUCACACUUCACCUAGAGACCCUCCCACAGCUUUCUCGAUAACUGACAAUCCAACGGUUGAGAUUCAGUUCUUCUAGAUAAAUUCACAUAUCCAAAGGACACGUGGCGGCGAGAGAUGAAAGAAAGUAGCCGGAAGCAAGGAGCUGCGUCACCGUGUGCUGCGUGUAAGCUUUUGCGGCGGCGGUGCGCUCAAGAUUGCGUUUUCUCGCCGUAUUUUCCGGCCGAUGAGCCUCAGAAAUUUGCUAAUGUUCAUAGAGUGUUCGGUGCUAGCAACGUCAACAAGAUGCUUCAGGUUUCUUUCUUCUUGUUCUUCUUAAGAAUAUCUAAAACGUGCUUACUCAUAUGUUGGGUUAGGUUUAAUUAGGAUGAUUUUCUUGUUUCUUAUUUUAGAUGAGACAUUACUAUCAUUUCCAUAACUUUUUAUUGACAACUACCACAUGGGCCGACCCGUUUAUAUUAUAAGUUUAGGGAUUUAAAAACAAAAUUGUUGAAUUUUAAGAAUUUAGGAAUAUGUUACAUUUAUUAGCUGAUGUUGAAUUUUAACCAUAUUAACUUUUGUUAGCUAAUGUUAAUGAUAUGAUUUACAUUUCUUAGCUAGCUGAUGUAGAGUCUACAUUUGAGAUGGAUUAUAUAAAUUUUAUAUAGUCUUGCGAGAUUAAUUGGUCUAGUGGCUGACAAAAUGUUUUAAAAACUCAACAGGAAUUACCAAUCCACCAGCGAGGGGACGCUGUGAGCAGCAUGGUUUACGAGGCUAAUGCAAGAGUGCGGGAUCCGGUUUACGGUUGCGUUGGGGCAAUUUCGUCCCUCCAGCAACAGAUAGAUGUGUUGCAAGCUCAGCUAGCUCUAGCUCAAGCUGAGGUGGUGCAUCUACGUGUACGCCAGUCGACUAAUUUCCCAGGGCACGGACUAUGCCCGGAUAGUCCGAGUAGCAGCGGGUCACCGUCUUCGAAGCAAGUGAGUCCACAGGACAACAAGGGCAUGUUUAGCCAUAUGGACAUUGUGGAUGAAGCCAGUUUGGGAGAGUCUAUGUGGUCUUGCUAGUCAAUAAUGCUCUCUUUCUGCUACUGCAAUUUCCUCUUCCUUUUUUGGGAAAUUUCGGGAUUAUUAUAUAUUAAAUUUAGGGGUAGGAUAUGAAAAUGCUCUGUUUUGACUACAGAGUGAAAUUAUUAACAUGAUAUAGAUACAUAAAAAUACUAAAUAUAUUUAUAUAUUAUAAAUCUCUCUCUAUAUAUUUAUUAGUAUUUGUAACUUUGUAAUUCCGGGGUAUUUGGGAUUUGGUGUAUGUGUAGGACCUUUGGAUCAUGAUCCGGUAGGGUUAUUUUGAUCAUUUCCAACCGAGGAGGGAUCUUUGUUAUUGACCUAAUGUAAAUUUGUGAGAUAUAUUAUUUAUCUAUAUCUAUAUACAAUUAUGAUCAUGUAACCCAUGGUGUGUGCUUGACUCUGUGAGCAUAUUAUCGUGUAAUGGUCAUCUUUGAUACUAGCUAAGUCUAGCUUAGCAAUUAGCACUAAGCACUUGUAUGGGCCUGAAUUUUUAUUAUGCAAACUUAUGGCCCAUUUGUCUUUAUUUUUUGGUUUCCUUGCAAACAUUUGCCAUUUGAUAGUCGCUGAUAGAAUCGCUCGCAUAUGAAGGAAACAGAAAGACCGGACCGGAGCAUGUGCUUGUGGUAAGAAAUUUACAGUGAGCUUAAGAAGAAACACAAGUAAUUUAGUCUAUUAUAGUUCAAGAGCUUCUCCUGCAUUCAUGCAAAUGCAAGAGUGGUAAAAUAGCAUUAUACUAAGUAAAUUUGGUUAUGCUCCUGUGCGUUAUAUCAGGAUAUUCCCUUCAAGCAAUUGAGCUUCACAUAGCAAUCACUAGACCGCAAAAUCACAAUCUGUCAAUCACCAUUUUAGCCAUAAUUCUUUCUACUUGCGCAAUCCAAAUUUUAUAAGGUUUUCGACAAUGCAUUGUUUUUCAAUAAGUACAAUGGAAAACAAAGAGAUUAGAGAGAGUAACACAAAAGCAGAAAACAAGUUCCCUUUUUAAACAUCCUUAGCAAUGAGAUCACCAUUGAGAAACUCUCUGUAGGCAGCAACGGGCCAAAUGAAACCACGGAAGAUGAUCCGACUAGCCAAAGGAACAUCGAUGAUGAUCUCUUUCAUCGCGGGUUUCUUCUCACCACUAAUAGCUAUUAAGUAGCUUCUUCCAACCCACCCGAUCCAUCCAGCAAUGUAGAGGAAAAGAAUCCCUGGAGUAAUGAACUCUCCCCAAUGCCGCUGGUCUCCGUUCACUAUCAAGUGCGGUAAACCGUCUGACCCGCAUAACAAUCCGUACUUCCCGUAGUUGUCGAACCUAACAUACAUUCAUAAGCACAUCAACUUCAAACCAAUCCACAGUUCCACAAGCUCCUCAAUAGAUCAUAUCAAUGAUCAAAUUUAACAUGUCUAGCAACUUCGAAAACUCACUAACUCACCAAAAAAAUCAUACUAAAGCAAUGGAUCUAGCAAGUAAUUCACUAAAACAGAGAAAAACUCUGUUUCAGAACAGAGGAAAGCUCUGUUUCAGAACAGAGAAAAAGCUCUGGUUUAACGAAGAAAUAGAAAUGGAAGACGAACCUGCGUUUGGUUUUCUCGAUCUGAGCAUUGAGAGCAAGAGCAGGGGCAGAUUCAGGAGCGUAGAGCUUAAGAGAAGAUUCAAGCUUCUUGAUCUGUUGCUUCUCUCUUUUAGCGAACUGUUUUGAGUCCUUGCAAGGAGUCAAACCUGAGAUAUCAGCGACAGCUGGCAUAGGAGCAGAGAGGAGGAUGGAAGAGAGGGCGACGGCGGCGGAGAAAGCUUUCAUGGAUUGAGGUGUGGAGGAGGAGGAUUUGUCAUCGGAGCAGACGAAUCUUGCGGAGGAUUUAGGUACGGAUUGAGUGAGAGAUUUGUUAGAUCUCGGGUUGAGAACGAGAUUCGCCGGGAUAGUGAGCGACAUGGCGCUUUGUCGGGUUCUUUGGAGAUUUCGAAUUCUAGGGUUCUGGAGUUUUGGGUGAAGUGUGGAGAGAAGACUUAUGGGAGGAGCUUUAGAUUCUUGAGGGGAUUAGUGGAGGGAGAGGAAGAUAAGAGAAGUGGUCUUGGGGUGAUGAGGUGGCGUGUUGUGAUUGGUUGAUAAGUAACAUGUCACUGGAUAAGAGAUUUUGCCGCGGAUUUUAAUAGUUUUGUCAUUUUGAUGUUCAAGAUAUGUGGACUACACACGACUUAUCUUUUAUUUAUUUUUAAUAUCUAUACAUAUUAUAUAUACACUGAAAAUAAUCAUAUAUAUAUAUAUAUGUAGCAAAAAAAAAAAGAGAUGUAGUUUUUUAGUCCUGAUUAGUUUUUUUUUUGGCAAAUAGUCCUGAUUAGUAAGACUGCAAAAUUGAGUCUUUUAUUGGUUAACCACAUAAUAAGAAAAUGGGAUCAUGAGUUUGCAAUAUCAAAGAAUUAAAUCUAUAUAUGACCAAAAUAAACAUUAGCAGAAUUACAACUCCUUCUACCAUUCCGCCGGAAGGAGGCUACAUUUUUUGUAAUGUUUGUUUGAAAUGCUUCACAGAUAUCUUCUGAUAAGAUCUCUUGAUCUGUCUCUGAAGUCUCAACACCUUAAUUAGGGUUUCAUCUCUUAAGAUAUGCUUUUCUUUAAAGUUUUACCAUUUUUUCAAUGUAUUAACUGUCUAUUUCCUGGCAGAAGAAACAAAUUUCUUCACAUUUACCCAUAUAUAUAUUGUUUAUAGCAAAAAUAUUUCGUCUUUUUUUUUUUGGUCUAAUUAUAUCCGAGAGGAGAAUUUGGUUGUGUUACCACAUCAUACUUUGAAGUUUGAACUCGUUGAAUUAAUAACACGCAGUUCUGAUAUAUAUUAUUCUUUUGUGAAAGAAGUUCUGAUAUAUUUCUAGAUGUUUUUUUUCCUUUUUUUUCUUUUCUAGAUGUUUCUUAUAGAAUAAUCAAUGUGUAAACCAUUACUAGCUUUCUUAUUUACAUCAAAGAGAUAGGAAAAUACACAAAUAAAGAAGGAAAUUCAUCCCAAGAAAACUAAAGACAAUCAAAAGAUUACAAGUUACAACAAUUCACAAUAAGUCAAACAAAAGCAUCUUCCAAUAGAGACAAGCAAGACAGACAAAGAAGAGAAAAUGAAGGAAAAUCAGACGUUGUGAGAAUUGUCGGGCUUGGCGUGUGGAGACAACGGCGGAGAGGAGGCGGCGAUAGCACCGGGAGGCGGAGCUGGAGCUCCAUACACCUGAGGAUUUGUACGGAUCUCACGACGGCCGCGAGAUUUUCCGAGGAAGUAGCAGCCAAAUCCGAGAAGUAGACAGAAGAAAAUUAGAGGCAGAGAUAUGACCACAACCAAACCCAUCGAUCUUGACUCUUGAGAUCUAUGUUCAAUCUUCUUUCUGAUUGAUUUUUAUUCUUGGACUCUUGUUCUUGCUUUGAUUCUACUUCACAUGUAUUUAUAUGUAUGAGUUUGUGGGAGGCUCUGGAAGGAUCCGAUUCUGUCCGCAACGUUUAUGUCUUGUAAAGCUUUAAAGCUUAACGUUUAAAUCUCAACGGUCAUCUUUUUUUUUGGUCGGCCCAUCCAUACGAUUUCUUCUAGUUUUUAUAAUCACAUUAGUCAUGUCUCAUGUGCUUUUCUGGCUAUGAAAGUAUAGAGAAUCAAACUCAAGUUGACAAGUUAAGUUACUUAGAAAAUUAAAGUAAAAAUUGUUAAAUGUGAUGGACACUCAUUGGAUUUGACGAUUUGUAACCACUAUUUCAUUGUAAUGCAAAUAAAUAUGGGACUAUUGAUGGACUCAUGCAACCAGCAAUCUCAAUCGGCCUGGUCCGAUCUUACACAUAGCUCGAUCCUAUUUUCACAUGUCUAGCCUCUUUCUUGAAUGAAAGAUAUUCAUCAUAAAUAGCUAAAUCCCAAAUAAAUAUGUUAAAGUACGAUUCGAUGUUAAACAAAACAAAAUGAUUCGAUAUUUAACAGAUUAUUGGUAAAAUGAUCCAAACCCAGUGAAACAGCAUAAUAUUCAAAGUAUCAUAUCCAAAUUGCAAUCACUUUUUUCCCAUGAACUCCAACAAGCCAUACAAAGAGAAAAAGAUAUCUUCAAGAGUUACUUCUCAGAGAAGACCAAAACCACCCCUAAGGGCAAGAACCAGAUGAAGAACAGAGCCUCCCUCUAUGUUGUAGUCCUUUGCCGUUUUGUCAUCAGCUAGCUGUUUUCCGGCGUAGAUUAGCCUGCAAACAUCCAUGAGAUAUAUAAGCAUCCUAGAAAUACUAAUGAGAAUCACUGUUAUAUGAGACAGCAUAGAUUAUCAGCUUGCACGCAGAGUAGAAUCGUUUGAUGCCAAAAGCAUAAGUAAACACACUCGAAAGGAGCUGCAAUUUUCUCAAGAGGGAAGCAGCCAGUCACUAAAACAUGAAAAUCAAGUCAAUGAACCGCAACUUAUACAAUCAAGUAAAAGAGCUGAGCUGAAAGGAGCUGCAAUUUUCACAAGAGGGGCAAGUCACUAAAACAUGAAACUCAAGUCAAUAAACUGCAACCUAUCUUAUACAAUCAGUUUUGACUCAACCACACAAACAACUCUAAGAGAGCUGAGACAGAUAUCACAAAGAGUUAAUAUAGUUCAAGACUCAAUGUUCCCAAGGCAAAAACUUUGCGACUCAAUUCUUCUGAAGUAACUGGAAAAAAAGAAGUUAUUUACCUUUGUUGAACAGGAGGGAUACCUUCUUUCUCCUCAACACGUUCCUUAAUCCGAUCAAUAGUAUCGGUUGGUUCGAUAUCAAUCUCAAUUUCCUUCCCUGUGAGAGUCUUCACCUUAAUCAUAGUCCCACCCCUAAGCCUCAAUACCAAGUGAAGAGUCGAUUCUUUCUGAAUGUUGUAAUCCGCUAAUGUUCUACCAUCUUCAAGCUGCUUACCAGCAAAUAUCAACCUCUGUUGAUCAGGUGGUAUUCCCUCUUUGUCCUGUUUUCAUCAAAUCCCAUCCAUUCAUAAACCAAUUAGAAGAAGACCAAAUCAAAAGAUCAUUAACAAUAAUCUUAAUCCAAUCUUCUUAAACUCAGAAACAAUUAACCAUUCUCAAGCAAUUCACAUACCUUCAAGUGUACCAUAAAACAUAAACAAAUACGAAAUUAAGCAAACACAUGAAGGAUUAAGAGAGCCUUUGUGCUUACUGUUACACAGAAAUCUAAAGAAAUCUUAACAUCGAUCGCUAGAUAAUCGGGGAAAGAAAACCUAAAAAUCAAUCAAACAAAGCAAACCAAUCUGUGUCUCCAACAAUCAAACAAAUUCAUAGUGCAAAACCCUAGAAUCCUAAGAAAAGCACGAGGAGGUGGAAUUGGGAGACGGAGAAAGAGAGAAAGAGAAACCUGAAUUUUGGCUUUGACAUUGUCGAUGGUGUCGCUGCUUUCGACCUCUAGGGUUAUGGUUUUUCCGGUGAGGGUUUUGACGAAGAUCUGCAUUUUUUUUUUCCUUUCUUCGCUGAAAUGGUGUUUAUGAAUAUUAUUACGGACGGGAAAAGUAUUAUAUAUAUACAAAUAAAAUUUGGGAUAUAGUUUUGAGGAUUUUGGAAUAAAAAUACUUUUUGAAAGAUUUGGAAUAAAUCCUUUGAUAGAAUUCGUAAUUAGCUUUUGGGCUACGCUAUUAUUUCUUCUCCAUUUCUUAUAUAAUUUUACUAACAAUUUUAAAAAUUAUCUUUAAAUCAAAUAUAUUAAUGUGGCUUUAAAUAUAUUGAGAUUUUUUUGUUUGUUUGUUAUUUUAGGAUAUUUAACUUUUAAAAACAAAAAUUAAAAGAGUUUUUAGAUUUUGUACUAAAAUUAGUUUUCUUAGAUUUUAAGAAAAUAUGGGGACAUUGAAUUUUUUUUUUAGUUUUAGAACCAAAAACGAAAACAACAAAUUGUUGACAUUCAAUUUUGUUGGAAUCUAGAGCUUAGUGCAAAACCCACUAGUCUCUACAUACUAUGGACCAUGUUGUGGCAGUGAGUGGUUUGACGCGAAACCUCUUAAAUACUAUGGUCAAAGAGAUCAAGCUAUGUUCAAUUUUAGACGGUGAUAAACCUGAAAGGUCAAAUGGAAGAAUCUUAAAAGCUCGACAACAUUUCAUUGGACUUGAAUGGGUUGUCUCUCUAGCUAGCGUUUUGUUAUUAUAAACGCAGACUCAUCGUGAAAGAAUUCACCCUUUCAUGUAGGUAUUGGAGACGCUUCACGCUUGUUUGGACCAUAUGUGUAUCCCAAUGGCAUCAUACCAAAAUUAAAGACAUCUCUCUAACCGUUUUCUUCUCAACCACUAAAAAGCCUUUUCACCAUCUUUAUUCAAACUUGUUCACAUAUAGAACCCAUGUGAUUUUAAAAGUAUGAACCAUAUGAUAGAUUACAAGAUGGUCCACAUUGACGUGAAGAGCUCAUAUAAAAGAUGGCCUUUAUUUCUUGUCAAUUUAUCACAAAGAGGUCUCUCAUUAAGCCCAAUGGAUCGGAUAAUUUUAAAUCCAACCCAAUAGAUCACUUUUCUCAAUUCUCUAUUCUAAGGUUUUUAAGCUUUGGUUUCUACAUAUAAAUUCAAUUAAUUUUCUGCUGAUUUUUUAUUUUCACUGACAUAUGUUAGCUUUCUGAAAGUUGGUUUCAGUCAAUUGAAAAUUGAAAUCAGUUAUUCAACACCACAAUAAAGAUGCAACGAAAAAACAAAAACAAGUUACACAUAGCUAACGCCUUACAAUGCAUGAGAGGACUUUAUAAAAUAGGUGAUUCUUAUCCAUAUUUUUGUAUGUCUACAUCUUGAGUUGUUGAAUAAACGUGGUUUGUUCUGGUUUACUCCAAGUUGGUGAGUCUCUUAACAUUAUAGCAUCACCGAUGGCUUUUGGUCAGUUUUGGUAUGCUUAAUCAAUCUCCAUAAAAUAGAACAGAUAAUAGGUAAAUGAACCAUUAUAAAUCUCAUCAAACUUAAAUAUUAACUUAAAAUCAAAUGAUAAAAUGAAUCGACUCCCCAAUGUAUAUAUGAAUAAAAGGUUUAAAUGCAUGUAGCGGACGAAAUUCGCUAAACGAUUAGCGAAUUAGAUUAUUAUAUUUUUGGGAUAGAUAACAAUCUAUUGUAUACCAAAUUUAUUUCUAUGUACAAACGGAUCAUAGUUAGUCCGCAUCAGAUUUGUUAUAUUUUUUGACAUGUACUACUAUAAAUUAUACUAGAGGUUCACUCCAUAAACGGAUUCGUCCACUCCAACUAUCGUAACCAUUCGUAUCCAAAAUUUUAUUUUAUUUGAUAUGUGAAAUUUCUAAUAAUUGUACGUUGAUUCAUAAAGGAGAGAGAGAUAUUCCAUAUUUCCACAACCAAACAGAUUUUUAUUUUUAACUACGAGUUGAAUAAAAAUUAUAUAAAGUUGUAUACCAUAAAUUAAGAUUAAAAAAUUCUGACGUGUAUUGUCUUUUCAUUUGCAGUGCAGGUAUUAAAAAAUAACGACAAGAUGACACUUUUCCACCAGAAAAACGGGAAAACAGAAAAUAAAAAAAGUUCCGUAUACUAAAGGAAAAGAAUAAUAAUAAUAAUAAUAAUAAUAUCACAAAAAAAAUACGUCAGCAAAAAUUCGGUUGACUCAUUCUUGGUAAAACAUGAACCGAAACCGGUUCAAGUCCAUCAGGAAUCUCAACAUUCCAAAUCUUCGCCGGCUCCGCCGCAACAUCCACCACAACAAUUUUCCCAUCACCAGUAACAACACAAAGUUUACCGGAAUCCGCCGUUACUUGCGUAGCUCCUUUAAGCAUCUCUUCUCCACCUUCAACCACAACCACUUCUCUCCACUCUCUCUUCUCAUCAUCGUACUUUCUCACUGUCCCUCUCCUCUCAUCCACCGAAUAAAGAAUCUCCUCCUCCAUCGCCGCAACCGGGCCUCUCCAUCCAACCAACAUCUCCUCCGGCAUAGGUUCCCAAUCAUCUUUAACGACGUCGUAUAUAGCUCCUUCUUUAACCGCGUCUCCUUUAACAUUUACCAUUAAAAGCUUUCUUCUAUAUCCAACAGCGUCUAUAGCUUCUCGACUAAACCGUAAAUCUCUCAUAUCUCUCAAUUUCUCCCAAUUAAACCGGUGGUUAUUCCGGUUUUGUUCGGUUAGAUCUAAUUUCUCGACAGAUUUCGCGACGGUUGAUGAGAACUGAGAACUAAUUCCGCUUGCGAUGUAGAUAGCUCCGUCGCAAGCUCCGGUGGCGCACCACCGUCUUGGAGAUCCGAUUCGAGGACCGGAGCUCCAGGAUGACGAAAUUGGAUCGAAAAUUAACGGGUGAGAGAUCGCCGGAGAGAGUUGUUGGUUACUUCCGGCGAUGAGAAUGAGUUUUCCGGCGGCGGAGACGCAUUGAAUCGGUAAAUUAAAGGAGAUAAACGACGGAUGACGGUAAAGAAUCCGGUGAAGAGGCGGGUCAGGUGGUGGAGGAGGAAGCGGAUACCAUUUUGAAGAAACCGGGUUGAAACACAUAAACCGGACUGACGGGUUGACCCGACCCGUAUCCGAUGUUGAAUCGACGAAAAGAGCGUAGAGUGACGGAAACGAAGGAAAUUCCGGCGAGUAAAGAAGACGGCGCCACCGUGUACACACGGCGGAGAGUAACGACGGACGGUGAACGAGAGACAGACAGAUCUCUGAGAUGUGAUCGGGAAGUCCUUCGAUUAAAGCGGAGUUUUCAUUUCCGGUGACUGUUCUUCUUCGUUUCGCCGGCGGUGAUUCUGCGGCGGUGGUUGACAUUGAUUCACGCCGUUUCAGUUUUUUUUCCAUCUCUCUCUUUUUUUGUUUUUGUUUUUUUUUGGAGUUAUUAAAGAGAGAUAAAGGAGGCGUGAAGUGUAAUGAAUGAGAGGGAAAAGUAAGUAAAGGCGUAGGAGCCAUACAUAUAUCAAAAUCGAAAAGGCCAAAGUUGGAAAGUGUUACCAUCUCUAUCAUAAAUACGUAAAGCUAACUUAUAAAAUUAAAAUUAUACAUUUAUAGCAUCACAUAUGAUUAUAGUAUUCAAGUGGCUAUAGAGAAUUUUAUCAGUAAAAUAAUAUUAGUUAUAUUUGAUUAUCUUAUACAGUAUUUUAGUUUCAGAAGCCUAUCAAGUAUCAACCAUUAAACAAAGACGUGAAGACUAGAGAUUUUUAGUAAGAAUUGUGGUUGGUUUCCAUCGAGAUCAAUUUUUAAUAUCGAAAAAGAACCGGUGAACAGAAAUAAAAUUUAUUUUGUAAAAACUUAGUUUUGUUGGCUUAAGCUUUUAAAAUAUGUGACUUCAUCCUAUUUAAAAUAUACUCAUGAAAAAAACAAGAAUUAACUAUAUUAGGGUUACUUUAGCCUUUUUGCGGAUGAGAUAAAAAAAAAAAAGCAGAGAAAAAUCACCAUAAUAAUUAUUAUUUUUUAACUCUAUCACCAUAAUUUUUUAAUUAAAAAGAAUUCUCAUAAACAUAAAAAAUAGAUGAAAGAAAAAAAGAAGAAGCUGACAAGUAAGUAAAGGGUAAAGGGGAGAACCUAAUCUUCUAAUUAUAAAAUUCUAUUGGCAUUUAGUCAUUAUUAACUUAUUUCCAUUUUCUUCAUUGUCAAUUUGUCAUACAAUGCAAAUCUAUAUUAUAAUUAUAUGUUAUUUUCUACAUUUCUAUAUGAAUAAAUUUACAAAGUUUCCACUUUCAUCUUUGUGCUAGUGUGUAUAAUCCAUAUUAAUAUUAUGUGCGCAUCUUAUUGGAUAAUAUUUUUGUUGAUUCAUUGAUAAUUAUGAUAAGGUCCAAAAUCUCCCUUUUUAGAGCAACUUCUAUUAUUAUUUUUUAUUUUUCUGGAAGGAAAAAAAAAAGUGACAGAGACAUCCGUUUGGUGUGUGAUCCAGAUCCAGCCUUCUUUUCCCAAUCUUCUCAAUAAUGGAUAUGCGUUGGAUUUUAACGUACAUCAAUCGUUUCUUUCUCCUGAACGAUCAAGUUAGUUUGAUGUGUGGUGCACUGCUGCUAAAUAUUAAUUAUUCGAUGUGUUUAUAAUCUCUGUCUAACUGUUCAUUGUUCAAGUCUUCCUUUUAUAUAAGUCAUUGAAUUAUAACAUAAAUUACUAUAAUUUUUUUAAAAGAAAACUAUCCAAACUAAGGCAAGAAGUUAUUCAAUCUACAAUUUUAUGUACUUGUGGGUUUAGCUCGAACACUUUAAUAUAGUAUCCCGAUUGCUUAAAGAUCUUUACAGUUCAAUAUCUAGUGUGUGGCAGUAUAAGAAAAUAACUUCAACUAGUAGAAUAGUUUAAGAAUUGAAAAAGAAUACCAUGUAACAAUUUUAUGUUUAUGCAUAAACUUGAAUAAAUAAAUUUGCAUCGCAUAUGAUACGGUUCAUUAAAGAUAUUGGUAUAGCAUUUUUUCAUAGACCUUUUGACGUUUAAAUUAUAAUGUUUUUGAAAGAGGUUAAAUGAUUCAUCAUCUUAGAGGUGGAAAUAAAUAAUGUUAUGUUUUUUUUAAAAGUGCAUUAAGAAAACUCUCCCUUUAGAAAUAUAGACGAGUUUAGAAGUUUUGCUUGAGAAAAACAAAGGAUUGAUUUCAUUUUAGUUGAAUUGGCCUAUGAUGUUAGUAAAGUGGAUUUGUGGUGGCGGCCACCGGGCACGUGAUAAUCCACGUGGUUUGCGUGAAUAAUCCGGCGAGAGAACUUUUCAAUACUUAUAUUAUAAUUUAAGUUUUUUUUUUCCUUUUUAUGAAGAUUUAAAUUUUGUGCUUAUAAAUAAAUAACUUAUAAGUUUCACUUUCGGUGCAUUUGUCUCUUCUAGUUAGAGGCUAACUUUUGGUAAGACUUGCAAAAAAGUAAACUACUUUUUCAGCUUAAACUCAAACUCAAGAACAAAGAAUUUAUCUCAUUUUAGAUUAAUGUAUAUGUUUACCAAAUGAGUUUAACACUGAAAUAAUUAUUUUUAUUUUUCAAUGAUAGUAAAUUACAUGUUCUAUCGAUUGGAAUUUCAUUUUGCCAUUUAUGUUUUAGUUUGAGCUGUAGUUAUCAAAUGAGUUAACUGAUUAAAUGAUCAUAAAUGGAGAAAAAGAAAGAAAGAAUGUGAGUAUAUGACUUUUCAAAACGUGAUAUUGAUCACUCGUCAGAAAUGUAUACUACGUGAAAAAGGGGUUGUGUAAUAGUUUUACAAUUAUAUAUAUAUAUAUAUAUAUAUAUAUAUAUAUAGGUUUAGCUCUUAAGUCUUUCAAGGCUUAGAAACUUCUUUUGGAAAACUUAUCUUCAAAACGGAUGUGCCUUUCUUAUUGCUAAGAGUGUUACUAAUGACUGUAGACUACAAUCGUAUGUUGCGAGUGGUCAUCCUUCUUGGCUUGAAGGGGUACUCUUCGCAGAAGAAAGGGUUUGUCCUCUGCUUGAAUUUGAGUUUUUGGGUUGUAUGGUUCCGGGUGUGGAGUGUGUUCUUUUGUAAUGGCCCUUCUUUUGGUAGUAAGAGGCUUAGUGUAUAGGCUUGAUGAUUGUUGAGUUGUUGUUCUCACUUUCAGAUGUGUGACCUCUUGGGGUUUAUGAUGUGAAGUUCAACCCUUCUAUUAAUAUAAUUCCAGAUGACAAAAAAAAUAUAGGUGGGAGGCGUCAUAACUAUAUACGAGUGAUAUUGACUAAACUUGAAAAAUACCUUGAACUUUGUCAAAAGAAAAAUCUUGAUUAUUUGAUUUUAUUAUGUAUGAUAUAGGAAAACACACGUAUAUACACAUAACACAUGUAAUAAUCACAUUCACAUAUAGUUAUCUAUAUAUAUGAAUACGAGAGAGCCAGAGAGGGCUCUGGUUGUUCUUUUCUCGAGCGGUGCUUUUGCAAAGGAACCAAGUUGGGUUCAUUAAGCUUUGUGAAAACGUUUCGAGUUUUGUUUUCGAUUUUCAUAAGCUUGCCUUGAUCAUACCCCUGACUAUUGUUAGAUCAUCUAACAUCUAUAGUUUCAAGAGGUGCGUGUCACUUUCCACAUCGACACUUAUUGUCAAUUCGAUAAGGUCUACCACUUUCUUUUUACUUGUGGGUUUGACCCCUAGUUAUACAUCACUAGUUAAAUCGUAUAUCUAGCAAAUGAGUAUAACCUUCAAAAGUUAAUCCUCUUAUUUCGCGAUCCUGCUUUUCGAGAUGGGAAGUUGAGACUGAUAACUAAUGUUUUCAUAACAUUUUGAGUGACAAAUAUAUAUAUUUUUUUUCUUUAAUCAAUAAUCAUUAACAUGUUCAAAUUUUGACAUAUUGUGUUCGUCAAAAGAAUAGAUAUAUGGCCAGAGAUUCUUCAAUAUGACCUAGAAUCUCGGACAUUGGAAUGAUAUUUCAUACUAUUAUUAUUAAGGGAACGCGUAAUUAGAUUUUGUGGUCCUCCUUUGACAUUAGAAUGUCAAGCUGCCCAAAUCAAAUCCGUUGACCAAUUGGAUUAGAUUGUCUGAUAAAUUAUAAAUUACGGGAAAAUCAUCUAAUACUAUUGUUUAGCAAAAAACAAACAAACUAAUAUUUCGUUAUUCUAACCCAAAUACAUGCAUGCAUUAGGAAUUUAGGAUGCGUCUCAAUUAUUUUUUAUUUUAUUUAUUAAAAGACAAGUUUUCUGGUGAAGUUUGCAAAAGCAUUAAAUGUAGAAAGCUGCUCCUUCCAUGGGACAGCACGUAUUUAAUAAAAUAAGAUAAUUGAAUAAUAGAAACAAAAAAAAUUGAUUAUUAUAGUUUGGUGUCAGUGACAAAGACAAAAGAGUGUCGUCGUCUCUUCUAAUUUAUUAUCAUCAAAGCUAGUGAUUCUAAAUUAAAAUGCUUCUCUGUCGUCCUCUCUUGCUCUUAACUAAUUUCUCUUCUUUUCAGAAACUAAGAAUAAUUUGUAUUUUUGUAUUUUAGGUAGAUAUUUUAUUUUCUUUCUCUUUAAGGCAAACUUUUAAUCAGAAAAGGAAUCCUAAAAUACUACACAUGUACAUUUGUUAAUUGUUAUUGCUGUCAAAAUAAAAAAUAAAAUCAGUCUUGUUAUUAAUAUCGAAAUCACGUGAAAGAUAAUUGAAGAGAAAGUGCUAUUUUUAACAAAAAAAAGAAAGAGAAAGUGCUAUUAAAUCACACUUUUAUAGUAUAUGUAUAAAUACGAUAAAAGUCGAAAGCAAUAGUUGUACUUGUACAUAUUAGAAUACGAGAUUGUAAGAGUUAAUCAUUUAUAGACGAUAACUAAUUGGUAUAGGCGUAUAGUUAUUGAAUUUCUAAAUAUGUGAUUCCCGGCUUUAACUUUUAAGAACGUUACUUGAAUAUUGGUUUGGAAUUUUGUUGUGAUUUUUGAUGAACUUGUAAAACGUAAAAGAAGAAAACGAUAUUGAAACAAAUCGUCUUAAUGUUAGGGUUUUCUAUUAUUAAGUUUAUGAAUGAGUUAUUUGACCAAAAAAAAAGUGUAUGAAUGAUAAAUACAACUUGAAGGCAUUGUAUUUACUAGGUUGCUUAUAUAUAUAUGUCCCAAAUAUCCAAUAGGACACAUGAAUUUUUUUUUUAAUGGUAAAUUCUAUGUUCACUCGAAUAGGGGUUUUCAGUGGCAUACCUGAAGCAUAUUUUUAACCCCAAUAUAUAUAUGGUAAAAGAUCAUAUAAUUGGGGGAGGGGUAUUUUGGAAAGUUCAAACAAAAAAUUAAUGAUGACAUACAUUAUUCCACUAAAUUUUGUUAUAUAGACACUAAAACCAAAAUAUUUUAAUAUAUAUCUAAGUGCAUGCUUCAGAGUAGAAACACCACCACAAGUGCUUAAUAAUAUACGGGGCCAAAUGACACCCUUAAGCUCUUUCUUUGCCCAUGGUCCCCCUAGCUAACACUACAUUAUACAGUACAUGCAUUGAGAUCUUAAGUCAACUUAUUAUUAUAGUGUCAACCCUGACAUAUUAUAUACUUUAUUUGAAACAUCUAGAUGUAAGUAGGUUGUUUCAGAGAUGUUAUUGAAAGGAUACAUGAAUGAAAUGGUUGGAUUUACAUAUGACUUAUGUAUGUGCUUUAAUAGAUUCCAAAGUCUACGUACAUAAAACCAAAAAAGAGAGAGAAGGUCUACGUACAACGUACGUGUUGACUAGAAAGGAAAGGUUUAAAACCGUGUCUAAAGUAUGAGUAUAUUUUUUUUGUGAAAGUAUUUGAGUAUAUACUUUGAGAUAAAAUAAAACAUUUGUUAAAAAUAACUUAUAUUCUUCAAUGUUAAUUUCAAUCGAUUUUUGAUGUUUGCAUUUUUACUAUUUCGGAACUUUGUUAUAAGUCAACUUUUGUUGGAGUAGCUAAACUUUACUUCUGGAUAUCAAAAGCUAAUCUCAAUAAAUCAUCACAGCUCGUCAUGGAAAUAUAUAAUGCAUAAUUUUUCUUUUGUACCAAUAAAUUUUAACUACCGUCAUAUAUAAUACGAAAAAUGUUACGUAUUGGUAAUGUGUAUUACUCCAUUAUAUAAAAUAAAUUGUUACGUAUUGGGCCGUGUAAGUCGUGUUUGUAUUCAAAGAGAAUGUGUGGAGGAGAGAUGGAGAUAUGUAGUUUCAUGCAUGUACGCCAUGUAUAGUGAUAUGACGUCCAAAUCGAAUCGUGAAAACGAAGAAAAUCUUAGACUGGCUGGUGUAGUAGUUAAUUAAUAGAGUAAAAUAGAGAAUAGUACGAGUUAUUUUUCUCAAAUUUUAAACAAAAUUCAGUGUGGAACAAUGAAAUGUACGUAUUAAUCAAAAGUCGUACAAUAUUUAAAAUGACAUGUUCUUCCUCUUCAUCUCAAAGUUGUAAAAAUAAGUCUGUUCGUUUCGUCGCCGCAUGUAGUUGCGGUUGCGGCAGACGCAUAUCGAAGCUGUUCGUUUCACUACCGCAGAUAGAUGCGGUAAAACGCUGCGGCCGACGCAACGUUAUGCGGCGAAAAAAAUUAAACGCGGAUUAAAUUUAGCGUUAGAAUUAAAAAGCUGCGAUUAAUAUGCCAAAUGACAGAAAUACCCUUAAUAUAUUUAGAAAACAACGAUAAAACCUAACUCUAAAACCUAACACAUUCACGAUCUGAAAAUUUUCUUCUCUUUUACACAAUUUCGAUCUGAAAAAGUAAAGCUCAGCGAUUUCGAAUUAAACUCGGCGAUUUCGAAGUAAUGGGUUUUGUUUUAGAAGUUCUCUGGUUGACCCUGAAGAACAAGAGAUCUGUUCGCGAGACCAUUCAGGAAGAAGGGUUAUAUUCUACUCUCCACUUACCUCAUAACCUUCAAGGUCGGCGAUUACGUCAAUGUCAAGGUUAAUGGAGCUAUUCACAAGGGUAUUCCUCAUAAGUUCUACCAUAGUCGUAUUGGUCGUAUCUGAAAUCUCACUACGCGUGCCGUUGGUGUUGAAGUCAACAAACAGGUUUCGAUUACUCAAAAUUCUCAUCUGUUUGGAAGAGUUUUGAUUGUUGAAAUUAGGAUUUGAACGUUAUUUUGAUUCUUUGAUUUGGGGUUUAAUUCGUCUUUGUGUGAGCUAUCUGUUUUGAAUUUUGUGAUGUGUGAUUAGUAUUGGUUUGAAAGCUUCAAGCUUUUCUUCUUGGGUCCUUCUUUUGCUACUUGUAUAAUUUGCAAUCAAUCUACUAUGAUUCUUAGUGAUGUUUUCAUUUUGACUUUGAUGUUUAUCAUUUAGUUGAAUCUCUUGGAGAGCUAAUUUUGAGUUUUGGGUUGGGUUUUAGAUUAAGAACAGAAACAUAAGGAAGAGGAUACAUGUACGUGUGGAGCAUGUGCAACAGUCAAGGUGUGAUGAGGAGUUUAAUCUCUGGAAGAAGCAGAACGAUGUGCUUAAGGCUGCAACAGUCAAGGUGUGAUGAUGAGUUUAGUCUCAGGAAAAAGCAAAACGAUGUGUUUAAGGCUGCUGCUAAAGCUAAAUGUGAAACUAUUAGCACUAAGAGACAACCUAAAGGUCCUAAACCUUGUUUCAUGGUUGAAGGUAUGACCUUGGAGACUGUCACUCCCAUUCCCAAUGUUGUCAACGAUCUCAAAGGUGGCUAUUGAGUUGUUUCCAUUUUCUUCAUUCUCUUCUAAGAAUUUUUGCACUUGCUUUGUUCUUUUUAUGAUGUUUUUGUAUCAAACAAGACUGAAUUCUAUAUUGUACGAGUUCAGAUUUUGUUAGGAAAGAUGGUUUAUCCCAAUCCUUUACCUGUUCCAUUUGUAUUUAAAAUCGUUUCUGCAUUUUUCAGAAAACUGAUACUUUGGGAAAAGUUGAGACAUCUAAUCUCUUUCAGUGUUAGCAAUUUAUACCACACAAAAAUAAACAGAGAGAGCAAUCGAAACAAAAUCUCUUUGUAAAGUUGGGAAGUGCAGACAGACCUUUUAAUUGCAAACCUUUUAAUUCCUUUGCAGCUUCACACAAUUGCCUCCUCUUCAUUCAUUAGUUAAAUGUUUGAGUUUGCUAUUUUUGUUUUAACUGAGCUUAUGAUUUAUCACAAAAUUUUAUUGUUAUAAUUAUAUAUAUUUAACUAAAAAUUAUUACUCCUUACCAAAAAAAAACUAAAAACUAUUACUAGCUAAACAAAUACUUUUUAUUGAUGUAAAUAUAUUUAAAUUACAUUUUUUUAUAUUCAGAAUAUAACUAAAAAAGUAAAUAAAAGAAUUACAUGAAAAUUAUCGUAGCGGCGUCGAAACGAACAAAGAAACCUGCGGUUGCGGCAGCGGCUGCGGCAGCGUCUGCGGCAACAAAACGAACAACAACCUGCGGUAGUGUUUGCCGCCACCGCUACCGCAGCCGCUGCCGCAACCGCCAGCGUUAAUGAAACGAACAUGCUAAAUAUAUAUAUUUUUUUCCAAAAGUUAACGGUAAAUAACUCAAUAUAUAUAGAUAUAUAUAACUCGAUCACCUUACUUAUUUAUCUAAUAAAUUUAUAAACAUUACUCAAUAUCCUGAAAAAUUGAGUUAAACUAGUCAUGAACUAGUCUUUAACAGUAACGUAACGUAUAUAAGUAGAAGCACUCAAUUUUAAUUAGUUCUAUUGAAUUUGUUAUCUUCGUUCUAUCCAUUUUACACCAUUUAUCUUACUCGUUUUGUUUUGUCUUUUUAUAAAACUUACUCGGUUUUUUUGAUAAACCUAACUCCUUUGGUUAGUAGUUAAUUUCCUUCGUUUUGCUUUUCCAAUUCUAUGCAUAUUGUUUUAACCAUUUUAUUACUCCGUUUCCGUUUGUUUCACUACAAUUAUUUGGAGCUACAGUACUACAGUAGUAUAUAGUUCUAUGUUCAUAUCAAGAUUGUCUUCUUGGGAAACACUUGCCCUUUGACUGGAUUUGUUAUAUUAAAAAUUGUGCAAGCACGUGUUUGCUAAAAUUUAAAAUGAGAAGCUGUGAGCUAAAAGCUUCGCUGUUAGGUUCAUCAACUAGUCUGUCUGGUGCUUCAAAGGAAUGAUGACACAAGCAAUGAUGUAAUUGGCAAAAAGGUAGUUUUGUCGUUUAGUGCUUUUAAAUCGAGAGGCAGGGGAUAGAUCAGAGUGAUCCGGUAUGGGUCGCAGAUUUUGUUCGGUCCCGACAUGUUUUUAGUUCUAUUUAAAUACUUUAUAAGUAAAAAUAAUUCUAUUGUCUCGUCUCUAUUAUUUACAUAAAUUGUAUGUACAUUAAUUGUAAGGGAAGUAUGUAUAUAACUAUAAAUCUAAAAAUCUUAGAUUAAUAAAUAAUACAUCAAAAUGCCUAACUUACAUAUAUGUAUUUAUUUAUUUCUAUAAUGAAUACAGUUUUUAAUUAAGAAGUGAAAAUGUCUCGUCACACUUUUCAAAUAGGUCAUUUGGAGAUAUAUCACAUAUCGAACGAAUCCAUGAUCCCUCCAGGCUUCAUCCAGUUCACUUUGACCUCACUCACUCUUCUUCUUUCUUUCAGAAAAUGAUUUAUAUAACUUUUCUUCUUCUUUUAAACAUAUAUAUUUAACAAUUUUUUAUAAUAAUUUCUAUAGAAUUCUUUUAAUAUAUAUAUCCACAAAUCCACAUAGUUUUGAAUAAUCUUUAGAUAAACUAGUCCUCUCCUUCGAUGAAUACUUCACGCGUACUAGUUUUUUUUCUUCAUGAAUACUUGUCGUUGUGAUGCAGCAUUUUGAAACAUGAAUAUCUUAAAGCCUUUUGCCCAAAAAAAAAAAGAAUAUCUUAAUGCCUAAUACUUGGAUUACGUAUUUAUGUACCAGUAUCGCGAUCAAAACAAUCACCUUUUAUUCAGUCAAAUUAAACAUAAUUUAUGAUUCAUAUAUCCUCAAAAACAUAUUACAAAAUUACCAGGUAUCUUUGUAUGCUAUACACCACUAUUCUAAAUUUAAAAAUUAAUAUAGAGUAAUAUAUACUAUUAAGUUUUAAAAAUCGAGAUUCAUAUUAAUAUAAAACAUCUUACUAAAACAAUGAUCAAAGUUUUAUUCAUAUGCUCAAUAACAUUUUUAUGAUUAAAUUAAGCAUACGUCGAGCAUCAUUAGUUAGGUUCCAAGUACAAAAGCCCAUUUAGAUUAUUUUAGCCCGUUUAAGGCCCAAUAUGUUCUGCUUCACCUCUUGCUUAGGAGCCGUUGCCGACUUCUGGGAGCGACGCCGACGACGAAAGGGUAAACACGCCGCCGUUGAUUCAGCCGGAGAAUCAAUGGAAAGUGAAGCAAUUCAAGAGGAUCUUCAGAAUUUAGACGUCGAGUUAAAGGAUGUUCAAGGUUAAAGCAUUUAGAUUCUUCGUUUUGUUUUUCUUCUUCGAAUUUGUGUUUCGGUUGCUUUUGGUGUAUAUAUAACUUUAGAAAAUCAUUCAAAGUCUCCAUUUUUUCUGCUUUAUGUAAUAUACAUUGAGGUUUUAGGUUAAUUUUAGACUUCAUAGCCAUAGAUAAUUGUCUCUGAUCCUUGAUGGUGUUAGGAACCAGAAUGGGUUAAGUGAAAGUUUUAGUUUUUUUGAAUUCGUGUUGAAUCUGUUGAUUGAAAUCUCUUUGCAGGUCAGAUAAGUGCUUUGAUUGAGCAUCAAGAUAGGUUAUACGAGAGAAAGUCUGAGUUAAAGACAUUGUUAAAAGCAUUAGCAGCAUCAGGAAGUCCUGUUGCAUCAUCUGGUGGCUCUAGUGCUAUAGAGAAUUGGUCUGAGACAUUUGAGUGGGAUUCUCGUGCUGACGAUGUUAGGUUUAACGUUUUUGGUAUAUCCAAGUAUAGGGCUAACCAGAAGGAAGUAAGUGACUUUCUGUAUUUUCUGAUCCUAAAUAUGAUUCUUGUGUCCGCGUUUGCUAGAAAUUCGUUUGAUGUUCCAUUUGUUGAUUCUUUGAAUGAUAUGUCAAGAUUAUUAACGCUAUAAUGACGGGAAGAGAUGUCCUGGUGAUCAUGGCAGCAGGUGGUGGGAAGAGUCUUUGCUAUCAACUUCCAGCUAUGCUUCGUGGUGGGACAACUCUUGUUGUCAGUCCUCUACUUUCACUGAUUCAGGAUCAGGUUAGUACUAAACUUAUUGAAAAUAGUCUGUGUAGGCAACCUAUUUGCAGAAUGAUUAACACUUGAUCGUUAGAUAUUCUUUGAUUAGUAUGUGUGUUAUGACCAAUUAUUGCUUAUGAUUGUUCAGGUUAUGGGUUUGGCUGCUCUAGGAAUCUCAGCCUACAUGCUGACUUCUACUUCUGGCAAGGAAAAUGAGAAAUUUGUGUACAAGGCACUUGAAAAGGGUGAAGAUGACCUCAAGAUACUUUAUGUAACACCCGAGAAGGUAUCAAAGAGCAAAAGAUUCAUGUCGAAGCUUGAAAAGUGUCACAAUGCUGGCCGCCUCUCUCUUAUAUCAAUUGAUGUAAGUCUCUCCUAGUUUUAGUUUCUUACUCGGAAAUUGUGCUCUGCCACCUAUCUUCUCACUCUCUGGCUUUAGUUUAUUUGGAUAUAUCCGCACCGUUAAACAGAAAACCUACUUUAUGAAUGAUCAAUUUCCUAUGUUUGGUUUCUUUGCAGGAGGCUCAUUGUUGUAGUCAGUGGGGUCAUGAUUUUCGCCCUGAUUACAAGAACUUAAGCAUUCUGAAAACCCAGUUUCCCAAAGUUCCCAUGGUGGCUUUAACUGUAUGUUUUUGUUUUCAUUUAUGGGAUACCCUGUGAGCUUAAAUUAGACAGCACUAGGGAGCUUGCUUCACCUUACUGUGCUUAUCAUAAGGACCAAUUUUCUUCUGAUUUGAGCUCGUUGAUCUUACGUACUCGCUAGUAUUGUUUAGUUAUUCUGCUUCAGUGGGUGCAGAAUGUCAAAUUCUAUAACAAUCUUUUAAAUAUUUUGUGGAAGGUUGAAUAUUUCAUUUUUUCCUAAUUCUUUAUGUCUCUAUUGCAGGCAACUGCUACACAGAAAGUUCAAAAUGAUCUGAUAGAGAUGCUGCAUAUUCCUAAAUGCGUCAAAUUUGUGAGCAGUGUUAACAGGCCAAAUCUCUUUUACUCGGUACGCUUUAGUAAUGAUUUUUAUUAGUAUACUUUUCUCAUGCUGUAGACAGUUUGUAGGCUUGAACAUGAACCAGUAAAUUGUCUUGCAGGUCCGAGAAAAGUCGGCAGUUGGUAAAUUAGUGGUUGAUGAAAUUGCAGAAUUCAUACGGGAAUCAUACUCUAACAAUGAAUCUGGGAUAGUCUAUUGUUUCUCCCGGAAGGAGUGUGAACAGGUUUGUAACUAAACUGACCAUCAUAUUCUCAUUGUGCACAUUUCAUUUCUGAUCAUAAUAUUUUCUAUUGAACCUUGGAUUGGGGGAAAAAAGCUUACAUAUUCUGCCUUACAUGCAAUGGUGAUAGAUUGCAGGUGAUUUACGAGAGCGAGGGAUUUCUGCUGAUUAUUACCACGCAGACAUGGAUGCAAAUAUGCGCGAAAAAGUUCAUAUGCGGUAAGCUAAUAUUUCUUAAAACAUGUAGUCCGUGGUGCUUACUUGAACCCGAGAUUCAAAAAUCCAGCUCUGAUGCAGCUCGACUCUGCUCUUGAUGAUCUUGUUAUUGAUGUGCAAUUUAAGCAUUGCCUGACUUUUUGCUGUGUCAUGUUCACAGAUGGAGCAAGAACAAGUUGCAGGUCAUUGUUGGAACAGUACGUAUAUUCUCUGUUAUCAUUCCAUUAUUUAGUGGUACAAGGAUCUACGUUAAUAAACUCUAAUUAGUAAAAUAAUUGCUUUGCAGGUUGCGUUUGGUAUGGGAAUCAACAAGCCUGAUGGUUAGUACUUAAGUAGUGCUAAUUUUUGUUUAGUUGAUAUUUGAUAUACCUUCACUUUCAGUUUUCCUUAGUGCAGAUUUCUUUCUCUUGGAAGCUAUUAUUCUUCCAGUUACAUAAUACUAGUAGCUACUGAUUUCUUAAAAUCAUUAUAUUUCUAAAAACCACCAUCCUUCGCGUUUUAUUAAUCACCAUUCUUACUAUCUUCUCUAACUGAUACAUGGGGCAUUGCUGUAGUCAGGUUUGUCAUCCACCACAGUUUGAGCAAAUCAAUGGAGACUUACUACCAGGUUCCAGUCUCUUGUCCACUAAAACUCGAUAUAGUUAUAAGGCUGCCUCUUAUAACUUAACCAUAAUAUUGUAGGAGAGUGGCCGUGCCGGUCGUGAUGGCCUCCCAUCCGAAUGUAUCCUCUUUUUUCGUUCGGCUGAUGUUCCCAGGCAGGUAUGCUGCAAUGUUACUGUACCCUGGUUAUCUGUCCUGUGUAUAUAUCUAUAUAUUUCUUAGAUUUAGUUGAUGCUUUCCUUUUCUCCUCAACAGAGUUCCAUGGUCUUCUACGAGUAUUCUGGUCUCCAAAAUCUCUACGAUAUAGUAAGAUACUGUCAGGUACGCUGAUUCAUUUCCAUUUCCUGAAGCAUUAUCGUUAUUGCACCUGUAAAUAUCUGGAGCAAGCUGUGGCAAUCAGCACCAACUUCCGAGAGAAUUGUGUACCUUGCUAAGGCUUCUUUAGACUGACUAAAUUGUUUUACUCUCUAUCUUGUCACGUUAAAGAAUCAUGAUCUUGAAAUAUUCUAAAUUGUACGCUAUCUUAUGAAACCUUGGUUUCUGAACUACCUUCUUGCAGUCUAAAACAAAAUGUCGUCGAAGCGCAUUUUUCCGUCAUUUUGGGGAACCAUCACAAGAUUGCAAUGGUAUUCUUGUUUACAGUUAGUUGUCCACUACUGAUAGAUUUUGUACUAGGUCUAUUGAUUCUAGAUUUUCUGAUGUGCUGAUCGUUUGGUAAGGAAUGUGUGACAACUGUGCCUUGUCAAGUGAGGUCAAGGAAGUUGAUGUAUCGGGUACGUCCCUACAUUCGCUUGUUGUUUUUUUGAAAUACAUUCCCUUGCAAUUUGUUUGGAAUCAGCUUGAAAGUUUCAUCUUCUGCCAAAACAAUUUCAGCUUAUUUUGUUUAAAGGACUUACAGUUCAUUUCACUUUCUCAUCAACUAUCAGAGUAUCAGCCAUAUGUCGAUAAUAUCAUAAUUAUUUUCGGUGUCAUGAUUUUUGCAGACCUGUCUAAGCUCGUGGUUUCUAUGGUGCAAGAAACGCAAGCCAAGGAUCAAAGAGUAACGAUGUUACAGUUGGGUGACAAACUCAGAAAUAAGCACAAGGAUCUAAGUUAGUCGUGUUUUUUUCUUCAUUUCCAUUGGUGUCAACUGCAUUAAAAUUUUUGUUGUUAAUUUUUACCUCUGUGGUUGACUUUAGUUGCUGAGUUAAAGAGAGACGAGGUAGAACAUCUCGUGAUAAAACUGAUUGUUGACUCGGUAUUGGUAAGAUCAUUGUCCAUGUUUAUAGUUCUCUGUUACAAUCUGACACGUGAUAAACCCAGCUCAAGAUAAUAGCAUGUCAGACAAAAACUCUAGUAUCUAGCAAUGCCUUAUAAUCUCUGUGAUUGUGCCAUUAGUCUCUUUAGGCUGUAAAUGAGUUUGUAUUUUUUGCUGCAGAAAGAAGAAUUUCAGCACACACCAUAUUCGACAAACGCUUAUGUAACAAUGGGACCAUUGGCCAACCAAUUGUUGCAAGGUAAGGAGAAAAGAAAUACCUUCUCUUCACGAUCAAAUGAACACUAUGUAGGCUUCGGGAUAUGGAAUACCCUUUUUUCUCGGUUUGGACGAAGUCAAAUCAAAAGAAGUCAUAGAAGCAGUAAAUAUUAGAAGCAUCAUUUAUCGGUUUAGUGAUGGACAAAACUCUGAAAACAAAAAAUACCUCCUUGUAUUCUGGAACAGGAAGAAAGACAAUCAAAAUGGAAACCUCUAGCAGGCAAACCAAGAAAUUGAAAAGAAGUAUUACAUUUUCCGGGUUGGAACUCAAGCUCGACGAGCUACGGAAAGAGAUAUCUGCAGCUGAUGGAAGCAUACUCCCUCACACAGUCCUCUCAACCCAGCAGAUUGGCUCGAUAAGUUCCCAAAAACCAGUUUCAUUACAAGAGGCGAGUUUGUGCUAAUAAAAUUGGGUUUCAUUAUUAUAUGUCUAUAGGCUUUCCUUUAAUCUUUAUUUGGUUGGAUUUGCAGUUGGAGAGUAUUAUAGGAAAAUUGAAAACAGAAAAGUAUGGAGACAGGAUUCUAGAAGAAGUGAUGAGACACGAAGCAGUCUCUGAACAACUUGUUGAAGAUCCAACAAAGGAAGAGACAUGUAAAAGCAGAUUAAGAAAGAGAGCUAAGACACAGAAGGAUGUUGUAUUGGUAGAGAGCAGCGGAGAAGAAGAAGCUUGAUGGAUCAAUUAUCUUCUAAUCCAAUCAUCGUAGCUGUCAAGGUUCCACAUUUACACUAUUCUUAUGUCAGAUUUUAACCAAUUCUAAUUAAGAAAUUCCUGUACUACCAUUUUCUGCAUAAGCUUCAUUGUCUCUAAUCAAGAAAUCAUCAUCAACAUGAAUAGGAACAAGUGCAAUAAAAGAAACAUAGGGAAACCUCAAUGAGAACAAGUCUCUUGAUGUUCUACACCAAAGAGUAAGAGGACUCUGUUUUCAAAACUAAAACUAAAAACAAACAGACUAGAACAUCAAUUAGAUCCAAACUCUUAACUGCCUCAAGUCAUCAAACAACAUCAUCUUAAGAAUUCCAGCAGAGCCUCCAUGUCUGCGCACUUUUGCUUCAUGUCUUUCAACUCUUCCUCAAUAUCUUGCACCCGAGUGUCUCCAUGUCUGCGCACUUUUGCACUUUUGCUUUAUAAGUAAACACGUUCGGAAAACGUAGGGUCAAUUUUGCUUUAAAAGCAUCAAAUAGGUUUGAAUGAUAACGAGAACUCGAGGAAUGGGAAACGCUUUGGCUUCUCAUAGCUUAUUGGUGGGCUGAUUCUUUAUUGAUACUUACACUAACGUAUUAAUUGAGACACUAACUACAUUUUUAAAUUCCUUUUCCAUCAAGAAACAUAGUGAAAUUAUAAAAACUUAGGUAACAUCAAUGACAAUAAUUCUCUUUUACUUUUCCAAGAUUAAACGACAUUCACCCAAUAAGACCCAAACUCCUAACUUGUUUUAAUAACUCAAGUCAUCAAACAACAUUCAUCGUAAGAAGUCUAGAAGAGCCGUCAUGUCUUUCAACUCUUCCUCAAUAUCUUGCACCCGAGUCUCACCAACCUCUUUCAGUUUCUUCUCCAAUCAAUCCAACUUGAACCCAGCUUUUGUCAAACAAAUUAGUGUAGAAUACGCGUUGGCAAGAUCAUCAAUGGAGAGUUCCUCAGGGGACUGACAGUGACACAGAAUCUCAGUCAAGCUUAGUAGACUAUUCAAGGAUGUUGUUCUCAGAUGUGGGUUCUUUGGACGGAAUUUCGAUGCAAUGUCUGGGUGCUUUUCAAACAAACUCUUCACAGAUUCUACCUACAAGUGAAAAAUGGACGAAUAAAGUAAAACUAUAUCAGAUAGGAGUUCUUGGUGACCUGAAAACAAAUCCAAAAACCAUAUAUGCAGCUUGAAUAGUGAGCAACUCGUACGAUAUGGAUUUAAAAAUUCAUUUUAUACCUGUGAAGGAAGAACUUGAAACCCAUUGACAUCGAUGCUUUCCAUCACUAAUGAAGUUUCCACUAACACAUCUGAUUUGCGAACAACUUCAAGAACACCAACCUCGGCAACAAUCUUGACUUCUCCAUUCACCAUAAACCCGCCAUUUACGUCAAGAAGUUCGUUAAGGGGAAGCAUUGAUCGGAAACCACAGCUGGGAAGCUUCUGAUCAAACCAGGGUUGCCCUACUAUAAGGUCAUAAUCAACAUACUAACUGCUAAUCAUAUUGCUUAAUCGUCCAUGUUAUCCUCUUUUCAUAUUGCUUCUCCAUUGAUCUUGAUGAGAGACUACUCACAACCAAACUACCAGAACACAGUGAAAAAAUGAAGAACAAGAGUUUUGCUGAAUAAAUCCUUUUAUUGAUUUCACUCGAUUGAAAUACAGAGGAUACAUGGUGCUUAUACUAAUACUACUUCAAGAACAUUCUGGAACCUUUCCUCCUAAUGAUGGGAUCUGUUUACACUUGUCUUGCAUCUAGCCACUAUCUUCUGAAGGGAUAUGAUCAAACCGGUUUGAUAGUACGAUCGUCGGAGAGCCAGCUGGCAUUGGUAUCUUGACGCUCUCCAUAUUUUUGUCUCUUUGUGUUGCGCAGAGGAGUUAGCUCUCUUCUUUUUGCUCCUUUGUCGUUUGUGUUUGUGAGAACAACUUUCCACAUUAUAUGGGCCAUUAACAUACUAAGCCCACUUAACAAUUGUUUUUGGUGAUUUAGCUAAAAGAUGGAACAAACAAAGAAGAAGAGGAAGAAGCAAGUGAGCAAGGAAGGACAAGAAAAGAACAAAGUUGUGUUGUGUUGGUUAAUGGCUAGCUAAACAAAGUUAAUGGCUAAGUCAAGAAGCAAUGAGUCCCUUAGUUUAACUAUCGAAAUAAGAAAGAGUGUCUUGAUGGUUAAUGUCUAGCUAAACAAAGUGUUAAAAGUUGUUGGUGUUAAAAGUGAUGUCUAGUAGUAGUAGUUGAGCUAGAGUCUUAAGUGUGUAUGUGCGUGUGUAUUAAGUAGAAGAAAAUUCUAUAAGUAUGUUUGUAUGAUGUUAUGUAAAAAUCAUCCAAGUGAUCAAUAUUAAAAUGUAGCCUUUAUGUUCCAUACGUUUUUUGUGCUUCAUCAAACAAGUAGACACAAAACAUAAUGUUAGGUGAUUUCUGUACUUUAUUUGACAUGAUUGUUUGAUUACUAAUUAUCCGCUGCAUAAACAUAUCAUUACUGUCUCAAAUCAUCUUCAUAUGCAUCAUCAGCAUGAAUUGAAGUACUCAUUUGUGUGCUAACCAACUGUCACAGUUCAGAUUUAAGGACACUAACACGUUUUUUUUAUUACACAAGUCUCUUGAUCUUCUACUCAAAGAUUAAGAGGACAUUGUUCUCAAAACUAAAACGAAAGAGAAACAUCCCAGAACACCAAUUAGAUCCAAAGCUUUAACAGACUAUAAUCUACUCAAGUCAUCCUCAUCGUCAGAAACCCAGCAGAUAUUUUGUAAAAACAACAGUCAAACAACAAAUUUAAGGACAAAACUAUAUAAAAAAGCUUGAUAUGACUCUUUAUUGAUAAGGGCACAUACGUAUCAUCAGCACUGAUUGAGACAGGAAAGACAUUUUUAAAUUCCUUUUCCAUCAAGAAACAGUGUGAAAAUAAAGAAAAUUAGGGCAACAUAAAUAACAAGUCUCUUUUACUUAUCCAAGAUUAAGAGGAUUCUAUUCCAAAACUAAAACGAAAACAAAAGAGACCAAAACACCAUUCAUAGCAACUCAAGUCAUCAAACAACAUUCAUAGUAAGAACUCCAGAAGAGCCUCCAUGUCUACACACUUAUGCUUCAUCUCUACGCACUUUUGCUUUAUGUCUUUCAACUCUUCCUCAAUUUCUUGAAUACGAGUCUCACCAACAUCUUUCAGGUCCUUCUCCAACCAAUCUAACUUAAACCCGGCUUUUGUCACAUAAGAGAGCGUAGAAUAUGCGUUGGCCAAAUCAUCAUUGGAAAUGUUCUCAGGGGACUGGCUCAGAAUCUCAGUCAAGGUUAGUAGGCUAUUCAAGUAUGUUAUUCUCAUAUGUGGGUUCUUCAGAUGGAGUUUUGAUUCGAUAUCUGGGUGCUUUUCAAACAGACUCUUCACAAAUUCUACCUGAAAAUAUCGUAUAUAUAAAGUAAGCAUAUCAGAUAGCAACUUUUGGUGACCUGAAAACAGAUCCACCAACCAUAGUGAGCGGCUCUUAGGAUAUGUAUUUAAGAAUGAUUUCUCUUACCUGUGAAGGAAGAACUUGAAACCCAUUGACAUACAUGCUUUCCAUCACUAAUGAAGUUUCCUCUAACACAUCUGAUUUGCCAACAACUUCAAGAACACCAACCUCAGCAACAAUCUUGACUUCUCCAUUCACCAUAAACCCACCAUUUUUGUCAAGAAGUUUGGUAAGGGGAACCAUUGCUAGGGAACCCCGGUUGGGAUACUGCUGAUCAAACCAGGGUUGUCCUACUGUUUUGUCACAAAACAUACUAACUACUUCAGUCAAAACAAGAAUUUCACAACACAUACAUUGAAUCUCACUGCAACACGUCCUACGUCCUAUAAGUCCAUGACAAGUGGAACCAUAAAGUGUUUUCCUUUGUCUGCCUUAGAAACAUAAUCAAGCAAAUGUAGAAAGAAUCACCUAUCUUUUUGGAGAGUUUCUCCGAAGUUUGAUUAACAACAGUUAGGCGAUACUUUGUGUGUCUUUUCCAUCCAUCAGGCAAAGAUUUGGAAUCAGCAACAUCAAGAAACAGAGACAAACUUUUAGUUUCAUGAUCCACACAUCCCUUGGGAUAGGCCAGAAGACGCGUGCGAGUAAAAACCCAAAACCAGUAAAGCAAAGGAACAAUAUCACGUAAACCUAAAAUAAACGAAACGUUGGAGAACACGUUUUCUUACCAUUUGGAGUCACCAACUACGAAAUUAUCAGAAUAAAUAGAAUCAAAAUCGGAUUAGUUUCGGUUAAAUUAUGGGUAAGUCAAACCGGAUGUAUAAUUAUCGGUUAACUGGUCGGUUCAAUUGGAGGCGUAGUUUUAAGAACAAAUCCGAAAGUACAUGUAGUUUUAUCGAGAUUAAAAUUGUUUGGGAUUGUGACACGUUUAGACACUUUUUGAUAAUAUUAUUACUUUUAAGACACUUAUGAGGGAGUGGUCACUUUGCCAUCUUUUUGAGAGAUAAUUGGACCAAUUUACCCCUGAAGUAGUGAUUACGCAAUAAUUUUAAACUCAUUAUUGUUGAGAUCGUUUGGGUGAGAAAUUAUCCUCUUUUUAUCAUCUCUCUUCCAUAUUCUUUUUUUUCCAUCAUUUUCAGUUCUCUCUUUCAAAAUCAAUGUCGUUCUCUAUAAUUCUUACAAAAUCAUGGUCGUUCCCAUUAACUUUCUCUCCUUUCCAUAAGAAGUCACCAAUCUUCAUUAUAUCAUGUAUAAUCUCCUCAUAAACUUUCGAUUUAUCGUCUCCUCAUAAUCUCUUCAAGAAGUUCGGUAAGGGGAAGCAUUGCUGGUGAACCCCAGUAGCGAGACUUCUGAUCAAACCAGCAUGGUGUUACUACUGUAAAGUCACGAAACAUAAAACUUAAGUCAAAACAAGAAUUGCACAACUCAUAAGGACUUAAGUUUUUAGUCCUAUGAGUCCAUGAAAAGUAGAACCAUAAAAUAUGUACUUUCCUUUGACUAAAAGUGAGAAAAGUGUCUAAUGCUUCUGAGUUCUAAAAUUCGUUAUCAACUCUUUUAAAGUUUUUUCCUCAGAUUUCGUUCCUGUUUUUUCUUUCCCCAAGUCUAAUAAAAUACCACUUAUUCACAUCAAUAAUGUUAGGUUAUUAAUGUAUUAGGCGAUUUGUGUAGUUUAAUCAAAGAAAACGUAGAACAACAGACUUCUUUAUCUAUUUUGUUCAGUUCUCUUUGGCUUGCUCAAUCUAUCUUCAACUUUAGCAUAUGAAGUAUUGAAUGCACGACUAAUAUAUAGCAUGAAAAAAUGCAGCAUCGGCUCUUCAUAACACACAUGUUAAACUUGCACGUGAAAUUGCUCUAUGUAAUUAUACAAAAACACAAAUUAUUUUAUGAGUCUCUCAAAGUCCUAAAACCACCCAACACAAAUAGAAGCAAUAAUGUGUCCUGUAGUUUCUCCACAAGGCCAGGUCAUUGUGUUUGCUUCCUUAUAGAGAAGAAUUACUGAUUAUUUCUGUAUAAGCAUCACUACUGUCUCGUAUCAUCUUCGCAUCAUCAACAUAAGUUAAUUUGACUACCUUUGUGUGCCAGUGGUCACAGCAGUUUAGAAUGAAGAAUACCAACAACAUUUAUUUAACUAAUUCCAUCAAGAAACAAACUAAAGUGCAAUAAAAAAGACGUAGGGAAACCUCAAUGACAACACAAGUCUCUUGAUCUUCUACUCGAAGAUUAAAGGACAUUGUUCUCAAAACCAAAACGAAAAACAAACAGACCAGAACACCAAUUAGAUAUAAACUCUUAACGGACUAAAGUCGAUUCAAGUCAUCCUCAUCGUCAGAACUCCAGCUAAAACUUUUCCUUCAAGUCCGUCAAGUCCUUCCACUCUUCAUCAAUUUCUUGCACCCGAGCCUCACAAACCUCUUUCAGUUUCUUCUCCAGCCAAUCCAACUUAAACCCCGCUUUUUUCAAACAAGUUAGUGUAGAAUACGCGUUAGCCAUAUCACCAGUGGAGAGUUCCUCAGAGGACUCGCACAGGAUCUCAGUCAAACAUAGUAGGUCAUUCAAGUAUGUUGUUCUCAUAAGUGGGUUCUUGGAACGAAAUUCUGAUACGAUGUCUGGGUGCUUCUCAAAGAGAUUGUUCACAGAUUCUACCUGCAAGGGAAACAUGGACGAACCUUCUCAGAUAGCAUUUUUUCGAGACCUGAACCAUACCCACAAACCAAAUAUGCAGCUUGUACAAGAAAGUAAAGUUAUAUAGUUACAGGUACUUUUCUUACCUGUGAAGGAAGAACUUGAAACCCAUUGAUAUCGAUGCUUUCAUGAACUAAUAAAGUUUCCUCUAACACAUCUGAUUUGCCAACGACUUCAAGAACACCUACCUCGACAACAAUCUUGACAUCACCAUUCACCAGAAACCCACCAUUUUUGUCAAGAAGUUUGGAAAGGGGAAGCAUUGUUUGGAAACCAGAGAUAUGAAAGUUUUUAUAAAACCAGCCUUGUAUUACUGUAAAGUCACGAAACAUAGAACUUUAGUCAAAACCAGUUUGCACAACGCAUACAUAGAAUCUCACUAUACAACACAAGUCCCAUAUGAGUCCAUGACAAGCUGAACCAUAAAAUAUGCACUUUCUUUUGUCCACCUUGGAAACAUAAACUAGCAAAUGUAGAAAGAAUCACCUUCCUGUUCGGAAAGUUUCUCCGACAUUUGAUUAACAACAGUUAAGCGAUAUUUGAUGUGUCUUUUCCAACCAUUAGGCAAAGAUUGGAAAUCCGCAACAUUCAGAUACAGUGACAAACAUUUAUUAGUACUUUCACCAUUUCCCUUGGGAUAGGCCACAAGAUGCCUGCAACCAUAAACCAAAAACCAAUAAGCAAAGGGUGAUGUCAGGUAAACCUAAAAUGAAAUGUAAACUUACAAAACAUUAGAGAACAAGUUUUUACCAUUUGGAGUCACCAACUACGAAAAUAUCAGAAUCAAUUGCUUGAGAUUGCACAAAGGAGAAAUUCUUAAUCGUCCAUGUUAUCUUCUUUUCAUAUUGAUCUUCCAUUGUUCUUGAUGAAGACUCCUCACAAGUCACAACCAAACGUCCAGAAAAUAAUCCUAAGAAAAGAACUAGAAGAAGAUGAAAAGAGAAUAAAUCCGAGAACCGAGUGGCAUGUACAAAACUUUAUAAUAUCACACAACAACUUUUAUAAGUAGAGUCACUUCACUGUCAAAUAGGUUUGAAUGUGAAUCGUGUUGAUUACGAAAACUUGAGAAUUGUGAAAACGCUUCGGCUCCUGAUAGCUCAUUGGUGGGCUAAUAGUCCCAAGUAAAUCAUUUUCAAAAACACUUGACUUUCACCAACAAAACAUUCACUAACACCGUUUUAGAUGACUUAUACUGAGAGAUUGUUAAGUGAUGCGAGUUCCGACGUUCUAAAUGUUUUCUCCCCAAAUUUCCUUCCUUUAUUUUUUUAAACCAAAUCUGAUAAAAUUAUGUUAUUAACCUCAUAGAUCACAUAAUCAGGCUAAUGGCCAAUACAUUUAAUAACGUUGGGCGAUUUAUUUACUUUAAAUUCUACAAAUGUUUCACCUUCUUUAUUCCUUUUGUCAUUUCUCUUUGGUUUGACUUUGGCAUCUAAAGUGUUGAAACUAACGACUAACUAGUAACAUAAGCAAAUGCGAUCAGCCUCUUGUUCUUCAUGACAUGAUAUUUUGUUAUAAAGUGAGAGAAAACUUGUAUGUCAAAUUUGGGAAUAAUCACUGUAACAUAGACAUACGUUUUGCAACAGGAAUAAAGUCGCUGCUACACCCAACAGUGACCCAAGAUUAAGAGGACAAAGUUCUCAGAACUAAAACGAAAAACAAACAGACCAGACACCAAUUAGAUCCAAACAGCUAAGUCUUAACAGAUCGACUCAGGUCAUCCUCAUCGUCAGAACUCCAGCAUAAACUCUCCUUCAAGUCCUUCAAAUUUUGUUCAAGUUGUUGCAUCCGAGUCUUACCAACCUCUUUCAGUUUCUUUUCCAACCAAUCCAACUUAAAACCGGCUUUUGUCACACAAGUUAGAGUACAGUGCGCAUUGGCGAGAUCAACAUUGGAGAGUUUAUGAGGGGACUGGCACAGAAGCUCAGUCAAGCAUAGUAGGCUAUUCAAGUAUGUAGUUCUUAGAUGAGUGUUUUCCAGACGGAAGUUUGAUGCAAUGUCUGGGUGAUUUUUGAAGAGAUUGUUCACAGAUUCUACCUGCAAGUGAAACAUGGACUAAUAAGUAGUUUAACCAUAUCAGAUAGGAGUUUUUCGAGACCUGAAAACAUACACACUAAACCAUAUAUGCAGCUUGUGCAAGGAAGUGGAUUAUAUAGUUACAAGUACUUUUCUUACCUGUGAAGGAAGAACUUGAAACCCAUUGACAUUGAUGCCUCCAUUAACUAACAAAGUUUCCUCUAACACAUCUGACUUGCCAACAACUUCAAGAACACCAACCUCGGCAACAAUCUUGACUUGGCCACUAACCAAAAACCCACCAUAAAGUUCUGUAAGUGGAAGCAUUACUUGGGAACCGAAGGUAAGAGACCUCGGGUAAAACCCGCCCCGUGCUACUGUAAAGUCACGAAACUUAGAAAUUUAGUUAAAACAAGGAUUGCACAACACAUACAUAGGAUCUCACUACAACACAAGUCCUAUGAGUCCAUGACAAGUAGAACCAUAAAAUAUUGACUUUCCUUUGUCCGCCUAAAUUAGAAACAUAAUCUACCAAAGGUAGAAAAAAGUUGAAAAACUCACCUUCCUGUUUGGAGAGUUUCUCCGACAUUUGAUUAACAACAGUAAGACGAUAUAUGAUGUGUCUUUUCCAACCAGAAGGCAAAUCAUCAGGAUCAGGAACACCAAGAAACAGAGACAAACAUUUAUUAAUGCUAUCACCAUAUCCCUUGGGAUAGGCCAGAAGAUGCCUACAAGCAUAAACCAAAAACCAAUAAGCAAAGGGUAAUAUCAAGUAAACCUAAAAUGAAACGCAAACAUUAGCAAACAUAAGAGAACAAGUUUUUACCAUUUGGUGUCCCCAACUACAAAAAUAUCAAAAUAAAUUGCAUGAGAUUGCAAAGAGGAGAAAUUCUUAAUCGUCCAUGUUAUCCUCUUUUCAUAUUGGUCUGCCAUUGAUCUUAAUGAAGUCUCCUUGCAACCAAACCAAAACAGAAAUACCAGAGGAUGAAGAGAGACUAAAUCCUAGAACCGAGUGUCACACUACCAUACUUGAUAGAGAAAAUUAUCACACAACAACUUUUAUAAGUAAACAGAAUCGAGAAAACGCAGAGUCACUCACUUUAAAAGCAUAUAAUACGUGUUUGAAUGUGACUCGCGUUGAUUACGAAAACUUGAGGAAUGUGAAAACGCUUCGGCUCUUCAUAGCUCAUUGUUGGGCUGAUAGUCCCAAGAAAAAGAACAUUUAACUUUCCCUUGUUCAUUUUCAAAACAAAGCAUUCAUUAACACCGUUUUACAUGAUAUUUACCUCUUAGAUGGCCAAUAAAUUAAAUAAUGUUAGGUUAUAUUAGGCGUUUUGUGUAGUUUAAUUUAAUUUAUACACUUGUUUUGGCAUCUAUAGUGUUUGAACUAACGACUAACUAGUAACAUGAGCAAAGGCGAUCAGCCUCUGGCUCUUCAUGACAUGAUACUCUGUUAUAAGGAGAUAGAAAACCCCUUAUGUUAACCAACAUGAAGUUGCUCUAUGUAAUCAUACAAAUGAUUCCAUUUCCACUUUUGUCCGUCUCUCAAAUGUUCUUAUUCAUCUCGGAGUCAAGCUUUGCCCUAAAUCCUCGAACCUUAAUUGAAACAAUGUCCUUUAGUUUCUCCACAAGGCCAGGUCUUUGGCUUUGCUUCCUUACAGUUUCAAUCAGAAGCCGAUAUUCCGAUAGCGUAGCCUCUGGUAAAGGUUCCAAGAACUCACACUUAGACAAGAUCUCCGGAGGAGGAACACCUGUGACCAGGUUUGUGUCCAGUUUUGUUCUGUCUUUCUUUGUUUUUUCGGGUUCUGUAACCAGAGGACCAUCAAGAGCUGAAGGAGAUGCACCAGGAAUUACUUCCCGUGUGAAUGGUAACGAUCUUGCAGGUUGCAAGCAGAAUUCUAUCCACUGGUUGAUUAAUGGAGAUGGGCCUCGGACUCGUCCUCCUCUUUGUUCUGCUUCUUUACCAGAGUCAGAAACAGCCGGGAUCGCCUUGAAAAACAAUUAUGCUUCACGGUUUAGUGUCCAGAUAUGUUAUAUCGUCUUUAGAACAAGAAGCAUUCAAGAUAUCAGAUGAAGGGUUAAGUGAUUUUACGACGGUAACUUACCCAUAGAUCAGCCCAUAAGGUGGCACCGGAUUUGGGAACAAUCACUGUAACAUUAGACAUACGUUUUGCGACAGGGAUAACAUCGCUGCUCCAACCAACAGUGACCCAGACAUCUCCGACAUUGAAAGCUUUUAAAUAGUUGUUACUAUCAAAUAGUCUAAUCUAUAAGCAAAAGGGGAAACAAGAUCAGCCACCAUUGUCAUUUUUUCUCAAUAACUAUAGAGGUUGAGUGAAACACGUCAGCCUAAACUCAUCUGUUCUCUUUAGGGUAUGGAGAGAUAGUAAAGAGGUAAUAACCUGUUUCAUGAGUGAUGCCAGAUUUUUCUCCACUGCUAAUCUUCCGCCAGGAACUUGUGAAUCCAGGUCUGUCGUAUUGUAUGAUGCUCUCAUGUAUUUGAGAACAGCACCAACAACCUCUCUAGGAGAAUUCACCAUUGCGAUCCUUCCUGCAAGCUCGGGUCGCCACAGAUCAGCCCAGUCCUAAAUUCAGCAAAAUGUUCAGUGAUAUUCACUUCUUUUAAAUAGGAAAACACUAAGACAGCAUUUAGCAACAACAAAGUAUACCAACCUCUAUCGGUGCCAAUUUAUAAUUCUGAAAUUUGCUCUUUUUGUAUGCUAUAACCAUGGUGCCCCAGCGGUAUGGCACAGCCCACGUUUCACCGUCAGGAGCUUUUUCUCCCGCAUAGUUCCUGCGGAGAUAAAUCUGAGACUUUCUAAGUCAUGAAAUGAACCCUAUGAACAUUCCCAAGCUAGCAGAGUACGAAAACAAAACACAUGAAAGAUUAUGCCUAUUAAAAUCUCUCAAGCUAGUGUUCUUUCAAAAAGACUCAUAUUCAUAUUGUUAAACCACUGAUUUAAAUUCUCACCUUCCAUUUAUCACUCAAGCCUUUAUACCAGUCUUGAUCUUCUAUCCCUUUCAUUGGCUCAAUUAGCUUUUCCUUAAUAGCAAAACUAAGCCAAGAAUCACCAAUGCUGAUCAUAUCAGCUGCUGCAGUUGAAGCAGCCCCCUUUUUUCCAUUCUUACUUGGUUUCGAUAGAUCGAAAAAGAUCUCUUCAAGAUUUCCUCGAAACUGAGUCUUUAACCUCACUCUCUUCCCUUGUGAGCUCAUAAACUCCUAAAUUCCAUUCACAGAAUCCAACAACAUACAUUUUCAACUAUAAGCUUAAGAUUCAAAAUAGAAAUGGAAACACAGACAAGUGAAACUAAAACCUUGAUCCAUGAUGGUGGCACUGAGCCACGCAAGGCAACGAGUUUUAGCGGGACAGUAAGAGAAUACACUUUAGACUUGUACGCUUCGAAAUCAGCUUCCAGUUUUUCUUCAUCUUCAACUUCAUUUAGAUUCUCUUCACCUGCAAAAACAUUCCAUUGGAACACAAAAUUCAAAUCCAUCGAAAUCCCAAGAGUGACGAAAAUGUUCAAUUUCACGCACCAGCUACAGUUUCUGUGUUGAUUUCAUUCUCUGUAACGACAAUCGGCGGUGGUAGUAUUCGAGCGGAGGCCGGAGAACAGACGCGGAGGCUACUUAAACCGAUGAACAACACGGUCGAGGCAGAGAGACCAACGAUC